rnacentral:lncRNA from 1 species
CCUGGUCACAUGGUGGCAUGUGAGGGGGGGGAAUGGGAAUGGUUUUUGAAAUAUAAAUAAAUAUUAAUUUUAUAUUUUUUGUGUUUAUUUUGUUGGUUAAAAUCUGAUUUGGUUGUGAAUUAGAUUUCUUUUAUUGAUUUGUCUUUUUUGGAAAGAUUAUUGUUGUUUACCCAUCUGACGUGUUUGUAUGUGACCCACUGCGCACUCACCGGGAAAGUAAGCCAUUUUGAGGGUAAAUUGAAGCUUUGUAAGUGAAGUGAACCCCUCCAACUCUCUCAUCUCAUAUCUAUAAAGCUGGUACAUUCAUAUUAUAAAUGGUAGAGUGGUCCACGAUAACUUUGUAUGGGCAUGCUUAUUUCUCACUUCUUACUACUUCUCACUUCUCAUUUCUCACCCCUUUACUUUCCUUCUUCCCUUCUUCUUCUAUUUCUUCUUCUUCUUCUUCUUCGAGAUCUGACCUCAAUUUUCCUCUCUCAAGUCCUCGUCAUGCUUUUCCACAGCUUUCUUGAACUUCUUAUGCAUCUUGUAUCUUUCCACCUUCAGGAUUUUAAGCCCUAGAAGCUCAAGAAAGCUGUGGGAGAAUAUGGCAAUUCGGGCUUUAUUUUCUUUCGUAAUUCUCUCAUCUUGCAAGAUUCACGGGACAUGGCUCUUCAAUUCUCUCAUCCUUAUUAUCACUUUCAUCCACGGUAACUCUCACUACCACUCUCUUUCUUCUUAAUUAUCUUCUACCAGCCCUCUCUCUCUCUCUGAUGUUGAUGUCUUAUGUGCUUAAUCAUCUCCUAAUCUACGAAUUUUAUAGCUUUCUUAUGUCUCAGAUUCACUUUACCUGCUGCUGCUUUUAUACAUACCCUUGCGAUCCCUUCAAAUCCUUUUCUUUUCUUUUCUUUUCUCUCUGUUCAAUUUCUUUUACUGUGACAAAAUUGCUAGGUUCUCAUGGAUCAACAAUCACAAUGUGGGGUUUCUUUUAUAUUACCCUUCUUAUGAUAGGGUUCAAAAGCAAAAAGAAAAUAUAUAUGUUAAAUCUGGUGCCACUACACGUUUGAGCCAUGCAAGGUGAGGGGCAGUAGAAAAUUAAUUUAUUUUAAUUUUAAUUUUUUUGUAGAAAAAUUUAAUGUUUCCUAGUUGUCUGUGGAAUUAGGUGAAGUUUCCCAUUAACUAAUUUACCUCUAAAAAUCUGGUUCAUUCAAUCAAAUGGUGAAAAAAAAAAGGUAAUGCUUGCAGAGAAGAUUCCCCAGCUUUCCUUUUUAUCAUUAAUGAUGAUAGUUCUUCCUGUUGCCCUUUUAGUUUAGUGAAUCCACAUCUUCUCCUACAUUUCUGUGAAAAAGGUUAAACUUUGUCACUACGUGACAUCAUUUUUUUAACCACUCCUCUCUCCUGACAUCAUUUGGCCUAUUGAUUUUCAAUUCUCUCUCUCUCUAUCGUUUUCUCUUUCACCCUCUCCUCUGGCUGGCUGUCUCUUUCUCUCUAGAAACCCAAGUUGGUGCUGAAAUCUUGGGUAAUUUAUUAAUCUAAUAAUUAAAUGAAAUUUAUCCCACUUACAGUUUUACAAGCUCACAUGACAUGCUCACACACAAACUUUCUCUAGAUCACUGUCUAUGUUGCAGACUGCAUUGUAGUAAAGAGCUAAAGACACCCAAUUUGGCAUACGAAUCUGAAAAUCAAUUGAAUUUUCUCCCAAAUAAGCUUCUGGGCAUGGCAGAAUCUAGGUGUGUAAUUGUUAGCCUAGUGAGAGGGAUUAAUUAUAGUAUUGCUAUUGUGUAAGAUAAAACGGAGAACCUUUACCAAAUAUAAGGCACAUGUUUUCAUACACUUGGAACCUUUAGCUUAAGGGAAUGCCACAAGUUGUGCACAGAAGUAGGACCACCAAAAAUCAGAUUAAUUCAGACAAACACGGACGCAUGGCAUUUCUCUGCAUCUUCGUAUAUAUUGGAUAUCAUAACUAUAUCCAUCAUCAACAGCUACCCAGUGUGUGUCAUCCUACCAAAUAUAUAUUUAUAUAUAUAUAUCCCUUUUCCUUUUCUUUUUUCACUGCGUUCAGAGAAAUAGUGAAAAUUUUGAACACGGGAACACGAAACCCAUUGAGUAUUCCAUGAAACAGAUUUGUGAAUCGUGACACGACAUCGUGUGUGAGUUACCAGAGACACAGAGCUACAACUGAUCAUCGAUGCACAGUGAAGCCUUCAAUGACAUGAACUGAAUCCUCAGUUAAAUUUCCUAGUACGGAAUUAUUCGUGUUUUAGAGACCACUGUGCAACAUAUAUAUAUAAAUGUGGUAUUUCACUUUGUUUAUUUUUCUUAUAUAUGAAGCUAAACAGGAAUGUGUCAGUUGCCAUGCAGUGUAACUUGUUCCUCGUUGUUGCAGUGCUGCUUGCUACAAGUUCUUAAUAUGUUAACCUAAUUUCAAAUGAGAAAACUUAAACAUCGGCAAUGGCAAUGGGCCUCUAGCUUUCAUGGCACCUCAACAAAGGUAUAUAUGGGAAUGUUCCGAUUCAUGCACCUAACCAAAUGUUAUUGUAAUUAAAACCCCAAAAUAAUGGUUUUCCCUUUUACUUUUCAACAAAAAUAUCUGUUUUCCCUUUGAUUUGUCGUUUAUGAGAAAUUAGAAAGACAUUCUGCUCGACACAAACAUUUUUAAAAAGAGCACAGAUUCUCUCUCUCUUUUUUAACAAUAAACAAGUUCACAUGCUCAUUCAUGGUAUUCACUCACUUAAACCUUGCAUAUAUAGCUUAUCUUAUUCCACUCACACUCAAACAAAAAAACAUUACAUUUCACAUUUUUAAAAAUUAACUACAUUUUAUAGAACGAUAAGAAUAAAGUACAAUUUUAUUUUGGAUUAAUUAGUGUUAGAAUUUUUUCUGACGAUUUAUUUUUUAUAUAUUUUUAUUUUCUCUUCCACUUAUUCAAACAAAGAAAGAGAAAUUUGUUAACUUCUUCCCUUUUUAUUAUUCAUAUUAUAAUAUAUCCACUCUAUUUUUCGUUCCUAUUUUUAAUCUUUGUGCUCAAUUAUUUUUCUCUCUCAUUUUCACUUUCAUUCUAAGUAGACAUAGAUAAUGAAAGGUAUCUUCAGAUGAAUUUCACUAUUGAUGAGAGAUUUAACCUAAUUAUCGCAUUCAAUUAUUCAGAAGUUAAUCACGUAUAAUUAAAGAGAGAGAAGGCAAGAGACUCUUACUAAAACAAUGAAGAAAUUGACCACAUAUUCAGUUUAAGCAAUUACAAUUAUUUAUCAACUCCUAUGUCAUAAGUUUGAAUUUUUGUUUUUCUUAAUGGAAAUACUUUUAGAAAUUCUUCCUAUACAUUAACGUUUUUUUCAAGGUAUUGUCAAUAUCAUUCGGCCAUUUUCUUUACCCUACCUAGGCAUAUAACUUGAUCAUUAUUUAUAUUUGUGUAUUUAAAUUCAAUAUCAUUAAUUUUAUUUCAAUUUCAAUUUAAUUUAUUGGCAGCUAGUCCAAAAGUUUCUUUCUCAAAUCACUCGCUUUUUAUUUUAUUCAUAUAUUCAAAUUUUUAAACGUAUUAUAUGUUACAAUCCACCUAUUCAUAUUUUUUAAAAAUAAAUGUUAGCAAAAAUAUCAUUAGUAAAUAUAAUAAUAAUAAUAAUAGUACGUUAAAAAUUCAUUUAAUGUAAGUUUUAAUUGUAAUAAAAUCAUAUAUACUACACAUAUUUAUAAUUUAUAUAUUAUGUGCACAUAGAACACUAAAAUACUAGUUUCAAUUAAUUAUACCAUAUAGUUUUUUUAUUUUAUUUUAGGAAUGAUGUUCUUUUCCAUGUUUUAUAGAAGUUCUUCAGAAAUUAAAUGAGAUGGAAGAGGAAGAGAGCGAGAAAAAAAUGAAUAAAAAAUGUGUUGUAAAAAUUCCUUCUCUUUUCUCCUCAAAUGCUUUUGAUCUUACCUAGAGAAUGGAAUCAAAAGAAAAUGUCUGGUAGCAAACCGCAACAUUCGAACGGUUCCAUCAUACCUUUUUAAUCAAUAAAAUAAUAAUUCAAAAAAUUGGAAUAUUCAUGAGCAAACGAAUUUAGCAUACCAAAAGGCAACACACCCUUAGGAUCCGUACGUGUUUUGGAAUAGAAUUUAGGGGGAAACGGUAGGUUAUAGAUAAAAUCACUCAUUCAUAAAACAAAUUGAUACAACAUUUGAAAAACUUUAUUGUAUUUUUUCACAAUUCUCUAUCACAUCAAUCAUCUCUUUUUUUUCUCUCUCUCAGCACCACUUUCCACACAAAAUUUUGCACCUAUACAAAAACUUUCUCAACAAAAAAAGAAAUUGUACGUAUUUUGUACUCCAAUCAACAUCAAGGUGCUUAUAAUGGAAGAGGAAGGUAAGAUGUUUACAGGGUUGAAUUUGAAGUGGAAAAGUAGGUAGUUGCAAUUAAGCAUGAAUAUCCAUUGCAGUAAUUGGAGCUAAUAAGAGUUCUUGACGAAAUGAAUAUCCAUUGUUGAUUUUGAGCCUCAUAUUCAUUAGAGGAUAAAACGGGUUGCAAUCAAGUGUGUAGGAUUGUGAUAUUAAGCAUAAUGUCGGCAGGAUCCGUUAGAAUUGGCUGUGUAUUCAGAUUACACGCCCCGUGAAAGAAGAUUGAAAAAAUGAGUGUUAUUUACAGUGACAUGAAUGAGAGUGAGUGAUGAAAUGGCAACAAUAACAAUUCAUGGUAGGGUAUGGUAUUGACGUAAGUAACUGUAACUUGCUGAUCAAACGCCCAAUCAAAAUAAUAACACUUCCCCCUUUCCGAUGUGAAAGUGCCAAUAUAACAAUAAAAGGAAACUAUGUUGACCCGUGAUGGGAAAUUAUAAAUCGUACACAUAGCCACAACAAUCAUCAUCAACUAUAUAUAUAUAUAUAAGUUUCAACUUGGGUAUUAUGCCUCACCCUCUAUCAUGCCAAUUAAUUUCUUACAUUCUUUCUUCCUAUUACUUUCCGGAAAUUAAUAGUUAACAGUGAAUGUGAAUGCACACACAAAUUAAAAGCUGAAAUUUAAAGUGUAUAUGUAUAUACACUUAAUAAAUACUACUGUUUUCAUAUAUCCCAGAAAUUCGUAUGAUAUAUUAUUUUGUGAGGUUAUGAUCGAAAUAAAGACUUGUUGUUCUAUAUAGCUGGAUGAAGGCAACGUGAUAAGCUAAAAGCUCAUCAAGGGUUAUAAUAAUGUUGUGAAUAAUUUAAAAAUGUGAUAGUUGUUAGCCACAAGACAAAAGGGGCACUGCUAAGACAGCAAGAUCAAGAGAAUUGUCUAUUAGUUUAUUGCCUCUCCAUCGUUUAACUCUUUUCACCAAUCUUCCACUCUUGCAUAUCGCGGAACACAAUGAAAUCUAACUUUUUCAGUUUAAUAUUUCUCUAAAGUGAAAACUGGCUAGUGAAACAUAAUUAAAUCAGACAAACAAUUCCCGCAAUCCACAUCAUUUGACUACCAUACAUCAGAUCCAUCACAAAGGAUUAAACUAAAGGAAAUAAUAUAGGAAGGAUAACCAUGAGUGAAAAGGCAUAUUUUAAGAACAGUAUAGAUCCAAACAAGCAAAAGCAGGACAUCAUGUUCAAUCAGUUUAAAGUUAUUUAUCAUCCGCUUAAAAAAACAAAAAACAAACAAACAAAGCCAUAGAAUGAGGAACAAGUUAGAAUAUGUAUGUUAGAUUAGUGGGUUACAGUAGGAUUAGGAUAUAGAUUUUGCAAAUAAAGUGGCAUGCUCAUACGACUUUUACAAUGUCUUUUGGAAAAGGAAAGAAAAAAAUGGAGUUGUUUAUUGGAGGGAGUCAUAGUGCUCGUGAAUGCACCAACUAAAAGUCCUAGUAAAGUUGAUGGCGCUGAAGCUCACCAUUUUGUCGGAUUUAACAGUGAGAGACACAAAAUGAAGGAAAAAGAAUAACCCCUUGUGGAAAAUUGAUAUUAAUAUCGGGAUCGGCCACUUCUUUUUCUAGGCCAUGCAAGAUCGAUUGCUUUAUCUAUAACUUGAAAUUGCUUUUACCGUUUCUAAUUUCAAAAUCUUUCGGGAGAAACAAAAGGGGUCUCAUUCGAACUGAUUCUCGGCACAGGGAAGCAAGAUAAAGAAAGAAACAGUACUCGCAGGUGGUCUAAAAUUCCCAUUUCCCGCAGCAUGGCUGUCCCUGACUUAAUUGGGAAAAGGAAAACCCUAGUUUCCUUCACAAGCAGCUCCUGCACUGGUUUUAGGUAGCCUUGUUCGUUCUAUAGCAAGAAUCACCAUAAUACAGUCCUGGAGGUUAAUUUUUUACAAUUCUAUGGUUAAUAUUUUCCAUAAAAGCUUCAUCUAACCUCUUGCUAGGGUCACCAACCAAUGGCUUUAAAGCAUUCAUAAGUUGUUGGAAGUUCCAUACGAGAGAUAAAGGCAGUAUGGUCACCUCUCUGUGGUCCAUUGUCUAACAAUCUGUAACUGAAAAUGUUCCUUCUAGUUAGUCCCGUGCACCCAAAACAAAAAUUGUUUGUUGUGACUUGCAGAUAUUUUUUUUAAAAAGAAUAUCUUGAUCUACAAAGGUAGGAUGAAUCUAUAUAUAUAUAUAUAUAUAUAUAUAUAUAUAUAUAUAUAUAUAUACACACACACACACACACACUCUUUUAUUUUUGUUAGUCAAGAUAAGAACCGUAUAAUUGUUCCUAGCUUCCUAAUAUAAUAUAAGUAACAACAGUCCUGAUUAAUUAAUGCAUACUAACUUCUGCUUAUGCUGAAUCUGCAGCCUGGAAUUUAUAUAUUAAAUUACUCGACCAUCUGUGACUUUGCCGACUAAAACAGUACAAGCACAGAUCAAAGGUUUAAUGAAUUGAAGGAGACAUGUUCUAUGGAGAAAUCUCAAUGAUGGCCAUUCAUCCACUGUAACUUGUAACUUCUGCCUGCAUUGGAGGCUACACAACAUAUAGACCAUUUCAGAACAGAAGAAAAAGGCUAAUAAGGUGAGUGAGUGAGUGAGUGAGCGAGUGAGCUCAAGACAAAAGCACAAGCAGCUAACAAGCACAAAUUAUUAUAAUUAUUAUAUUCACCAGAGACAGCACUAGAGCUAGCUACAACACGAAAACGAAAAGAAAAAAUAUUUUUAAAUCAAACGGCUAUGCCUACGCGAUGCAUCAUCACGAAUCAAUAAUGUUGAUGUACAAAUUAACAACCACCAUCUUCCAAUAGAUGUUCCUAUACCUCAAGUUCGAGCCUGGGAUUGCUCCACAAAAUUAAUUAAGAGGAAAUUAAAUAGGGGCAUGAAAUUAAGGCAAACAAAUAUAACGGACUCGGAAGAAAUUAAUUAGAGUAAGAUCUGGGGAAAAAGUCUGCACAGUGAUUCCACAUCUAUGGAAAUCGUUAGCUCAAGUUUCCUUGAUUUUGGAUCGAUCGAAUCAAUACCUGAUCGGUUUGAUUCCGGAAGAAGAAGCCGAAUUGUUGAGGAAUCAUCGUCACAAAUCAACACAAUCGGUACAAGUUAAUUCUCUCAUAGGACUGCAUAUCAGAAUUCUGAUCACAUAACAGAGUUAUGCAUCAGAAAAGUCAAUGCUUUAAAUCUGAAAAAGAUUUAAAUAAGUCAAAUCAGAAGAAAAAGGAAAAACAAAUACACCAGUAUAAUCUUAUCCCGAUGUAUAUAAUAAUAUAAUUUGACAGAAAGGUUUAGAGAGGAAGAAUCUGGAGUUUGAGAUAAGCUAGUUCGUUGUUGGACCUAUCUGUAUCUUCCCACAGCUUUAUUGAACCGCAAAAGAAGGUGUGGGAGCAAGAGUGCCAUGGCAUGCAUGCAAAGGAACUCUAUGGAUGCAGUUCAAGAAAGCUGUGGAAGAAUACAAAGAGGACCAUGAUAUUGAAGAGUGAAGAUGCCCCACAGACAGUGUAUAAAGGGUUUUUCAAAAACAAAAAGAAAGAGAAAAAAAUUGAAGAAGCAUGGAAGGUAGGUUCAUAACAUAAUCAGAACCCUAAUGAAGAGAAAGAAAGAGAGAGAGAGAGAGAGAGAGAGAGAGAGAGAGGGGUCCAGAAGAGAAAGAGAAUAGGAGAGGGUAAGCUAAGAGAGAGAAAAGAUGUAGGUGUAGUAGGGGAGGAGAUGGUGUGGUAUUUAUAGGAGAAUUUAGGAGUUUUUAUGAAGUUUUUUAUUUUAAUUUAAUUUUGUUUUUCCACCAAUCCCUAGAAGAAUAUCUGGCCCAAGAGACUACACAUUACUGAACCCCUCCUUUCUCGAACCCUAAUUAAAAAGCUGACUAAUUUGAUCCCAUUGGAGAUUAGACACCUAAUUAUAAUCCUUUUACUCGCGUAAAAUGCCAUUUAAUAUUUAUGCGGCUAUGAUGCACCUUUCCGGAUCUAACGGUGGUUGUUGCAUUUAUGGGGGGCACACCCUGGGCCCACCUCUAGAUCUGUCCAGUUUAUCCCAACUCCACGCGCUCCCUUCACUGUUCAUUAACAUAAGCCGUCCAAAUUAAUAAUAGUUUAUUAAGCAAACUAAUUCGUGAUUAACGGACAAAACAACGUAUAAAAUCAAACCACCCUUCCCAAAGCUGUCAUCUUAAUAAACCAUUUUCCAACAUCAAAUAAAUAAAUAAUCACUAAAUUAUUAUUCAACAUUUGUGAACCAUGCAACUAUAAUGACCCUAUAAAUGUUUUCUUUUUCGACUACAAACCAAUUCUUUCACCCAACCCAACGCUAAUAAAUAACAACAAACGUUAUGCUCAUGUUUCAUACUUAUUCAUUUCGACAAACACGUACGUUUCUUUUACUAAUCUGUACCCUUUUUCAAUAUAUUAGCUUUUACUUUUCUAUUUUAAAUAUCUUUUUAAUCAUUUUAAUUUUUACUUCUGUAAUUUUUUUUACUUUUUAUUUUUCUAAAAUAAAAAGUUUGUGUUUUUUGUCCCGAUACUCACUCACUUAUUUAUAGGUUGAAUAAAAAAUUUAAGUGAACCUUUCAAAUGAUAUCUCUAGUGUUAUUAUGAUAUAACUUCAACAAGCUCUUUAAAACAAAUUAAGAUUUGUAAAAUAUACUUGUUUAUCUACUGUCAUAUAUAUAAUUGUCUAUCUUGAUUUAAAAUAAAAUAAGAUUUGUUACUAAUGCAUAGUUAUCACAUAUAUUAAUACUUUAGUCGGAUCUCCACCACACUGCCAAAAUGUCUCGCCAAUGAUGAAGGUCUAGCAAAAAAAAAAAAAAAAAUCGUUCUCUACCAACAGAUACAAUAAGUGUAUAUCAAGAUUUCUUGACUACAUAGUAUAAUAAAAAGUCUAACAAAAAUAUAGAGUGGAGGAUAUAUAAUGUAAAUAUCAUUUUUUCUUAAUAGCUAAUGUCAAAUAAGAUUAAUGACAGUCGACAUUAAUAUAAUUUAUUUAUAUUUUUUAUUUUAGUAAUUGUUCUGUUAAUUUAAAUAUUUAUUUAAUAAAAAAUUUCAAAAUAAUUUUACAUGUUUUAAAAUAAUAUCUUAUGUCGUGUUAUUUGAUGCUAAUAACACCGCAUUUUAGUGAUGCUAAUAUUUAAAAAUUAAAUUUAUGUUUUUUAUAAUGAUUUAAUAAUAAAUUCUCAAAUUGGAUUCCAUCAUAUAUAUUAUAAUUUCUUACAAUGAAAAUGUGAUGGAAUAAUAGUUGUAAGUAGAAUUUUUUAAAAUUUAAAACAAUAAAAAACAACACAAACAUCUAAUAUAAUCAACAAUUCCAAUUUAUAAUUAAUCUCCGAUCAAUAUUUUUGUAAAUCGAUAGUAGCAGACGACUAAUUUUAUGAGAAUCAAAGUUAUAUAUUAAAUAAUUGUAUAUUUUUAUCUUGUUUCUAAUAUUAUAAUGUAAAUAAUCAUAUUAUUUAUAACUCAUUGUAUUUCAUAAUAUUGUUUUGAUACAACAUUACAAAGCAAAAAAUUUAAUAAGGUGUAUUUUUUAUUCUUGCCACAUAUUGAAAUAGUUAAAAAAUAAUUGAUAAAUUCUUCAAAUUUGGAUGAUUAAGAACAUUAAAAAAACACUAAAGUUGAAAUUUUAAACUAACUUUCUCUUGAAUAUGUAUAUAUUAGCAACUCAGUAAGAAAAGAACUAAUAACAAGCAAACGAAUAAGUAAAAAAAAAAAAAAAAAAAAAGUCCGACAAGCAAUAUAAUCAUUGUUCGUGUUUUCAAAUUCAAUAAUUAUUUGAGCUUUAUCUCUAAACCAAUCAAUGUUUUGGGACUCAUACUUUAAACAAUGAAGUAUAUUAUUAUAUUUUAAUAAAGGUUUAAACUUCUUUUUAGUCCCUAGUUUAGUUCCCGUUUUUAAAAAUAUAAAUAUUUGGUCCCUAAGUUAUAAAAAAUGUAUCAAAUGAGUCUUUUUUUUAUUUGAAAUACUGUUUUUAGUUGUUUCUUAACAACUGUUACAUCUUUAGAUAGAUUAGUCUAAUUUGUUUCUUAAUAAUAACAGCACUUUAGAUUGCUCUUUGUAUUUUGACCAUGAACAUCAAAAAAGGAUUCAUUUGAUACAUUUUUUAUAACUUAGGAAUCAAAGGUUUAUAACUUAGGGACCAAAAAGAGGUUUAAACCUUUAAUAAACAAUGACAAAAUUUUAGAAGGACAAAGGCUCUCUUAGUUCAUCUUUCAAGUAUUCAAUUUAAAACAUAAACAAAUAAUAUUGUUCCUAAGUAUAGAUAAAUACAAUAAAAUUACAAAGAAAACAAUAAAAUAGAAGAUCUGACUAACAAUUUUAUAUGAAAACAAUAAUUUUGUUUCAUCUGUAUUUCUUUGUUUCGAAUGAUUUUUAAGCUUAACUAAUGAAUCUCAUUUAUGACCUAUAACUUACAAAAUAUUCAUUUAUAGACAUAGGACAGAUUAUGAUCAUUAAAUAAAACUAUCGGAAUGAAGAAUUAGGGUUAGGGAUAGACAAAAUGAAUUAACUGAAAGACAGUGAAUAAGCCUUGGCUGAAAAUGAGUGAGAGAGUGAAAGAUAUAACACAUAAUUAUUGGAUAGCUGCGUUUAAUCAGCCUAGUCAAUGAAUGGUCUUCUAUUGUAUAGCUAUGUGCAUUGGGGACCCAUUUCUUUCAUUUCUUGCUAAUUGUUACACCAUACUACAAACUUAGCCUUACCACUCGCUGUCAUUAUUUUAUAACUUUCUCUACUAAUGCUUCACUUACAUGCUAAUUACUCGUUAAUUUUGUCAUGCCAAUACUUUUUUAUUUUUCACUGUUAACAUAAAUAUAUUUUAUUCCCAUUUAAAUAAUCUAAUUUUACGUUCAAACUAUUAUUUCAAAAAGAAAUUUAUUUUUUUGAAAAUUUACUUAAUCAUACUGUUAAGAAAAUUAAAUUAAAUUUUUGUAAAUUACAUUGAUACAAUAACGGACAUCUAACAUUAUUGCUUAUACAGCUAACAAUAAAUAUACGAUGUUACAACUAUUUAUCUUUUUAGAAUUUUAUUCCAAAAUUCACAAAUAUUUAAAAAAAAAAAACAGAGAGAGAAUAUAGUGUCUUUUUUCAGUUUAUUGGGUUCAUAUGAUUUUACAACGUAACUAAUUGAUUCUUUAAUCGAUAUAUAAUCUUUAUAGAAAAUACACCAUAGAAAAUACUUAUUUUGAAUUUAGGAUUAGCUUCCAUUACUUUCAUACAGCAAGCAUAUAUUUUUUUAAGUUGUAAUACAUGGAAAACAAAGUGUAAAUUUGAGAAUUUUUCACAAUUGGUGAUGGAAUUAAUCUUCUUUAAAUUUAGUUGAUAAUGUGUAAUGAAUUAAACUUAAAAUGACAAAAUCAACAAAUGUAACAAUAAUAUGAAAAGAGAACAAUAAUGAUUUCAAAGUUUAUUUAAUACAUAAUUAGAAUUAUAUAUGUUAAAGAACUCAAUGCAUAGAAUAAGAAAUACGAUUGAUAAACUUAAAGAGAAUAUGAGUUCAUCAAGCAUCCCAUUCUAGCAUUUGUUAAACAGGAUAUGAUAAGGUAAGAAAAGAGAGAUCAAGCAGAAAAACUAAAUUCCAAACAAAAGAAUGUUUCAAAGGAAAUCAGAGAAAGAAAGUCUUAUACUGCACAAUGUAAUUCCCAAUCAUGUAGUCACACCAAUAUUUGGCUCAUGGUAUCAUGUCUGGCCAAUUUUGGAUGAUCAAAUACAAAUCUAAGGUUUUGUUUAAAUUCUCUGUUUAACCAUCUGAUUAUGGAUGGUAAGCUGAAGUCAUUGCCAAAUUUGUGUCCUGCAUUAUAAAUAGUUACCUCCAAAAGUUGUUCAUAAACACCUUCUCCCGAUACGAUGCAAUAGCUUUUGGAAAUCCAUAUAUGUUCUAAAUAAAAGCUUCAGACACUAUUUUGCUAUCGAAUCCAAGCUUUAACUUUUUUAUUCAGCAUUCUUUUUAUAUGAUGCAAUUGAACAAUAUGCGAAACAUUGUCUAUUGUGGUGGCCAGACAAUGAAUAUCCUUGGCAUUCAUACAAAUCUCCACUAGCUUCUCCUUCAUUAUAGUAUUCUUUAUAGUGAAAGUCGAUUAAAGCACCAUUGUAAUGAAUUAAACUCAAAAUUAUAUAAUCAACCAAUGUAUUAGUGAUAUAAAAACAAAACAAUAGAAGUUCCAAAAUUUAUUUAACACGCAUUUAGAAUUAUAUCUGUUGAAUAAUUCAAUGUAUAAAAUAAGAAAUACGAUUGACACAAUAUCAUGUUAAACCCGAAGAGAAUGUGAGCUCAUCAAGCAUCUCAUUCAUGCAAUUGUUAAACAUGAUAUGUUGAGAUAACAAAAGAGAGUUCAAGCAGAAAAACUAAAUUCUGAAAGGAAUAAUGUUUUCAAAGAGAGAAAAUCUCAUACCACACGAUGCUAAUUCUCCAUCACAUAAUCACGUCAUUUAGUAUUCUCUUUGACACCUCUUAUAUGGUUCAUAAUAAAAGAUUGAAAAAAUAAUUCUGAUGUACUAUUUCAAAAGGUAAGGUAUCAUAUAUAUACAAACAAAGGAUCUUAUAAUUCUUUAUCUAUUAAAGGAAUGGCAGGUGCAUAAAUCUACACAAAUUAAAAUAAUAUAUAAAUUAUAACUAACAUAAUAUUUGAUUGCCUAAUAUCCCUUAAUAGAAUAUUUAGCAUAUCUUAACACCCUCGCUCAAGUUGGUGCAUGGAUAUCACACAUUCCCAUCCCAACUUGAAUAGAGACUCGUUAAACCAUCUUCUUGACACUCCUUUGGUGAGAUCAUCAGCCAACUGUAAUUCUGAUCUUACAAAAGGAAAUGAAAUUAUUUGUACUCUCUCCUUAUUAUGAAUAAGAAAUACAAUAUUUUAUUCUUUCUUCUUUUCUAACAUGGUAUCAGAGCAAUAUAAAAAAGGAAUAUAAGUAUAAAAAUAUAUAAACAUAAAUGCACAGAUAUGAACAGAGAAUAAAAUAAUUCCAAUACAAGCUUUUCUUUGAUGAAAUGUCUAUCAAUCUCCACAUGCUUUAUUCUAUCAUGUUGCACAGGAUUGUGAGCAAUUGCUAUGGCUAAAGUAUUGUCACAAUACAAACUCAUAGCUUCAUUUUGUUUAAAGCCUAAAUCUGAUAGCAAAUUUUUAAUCCACAAAAGCUCACAUACACUUAGUGUGCCAUGCCUCUGAAUUCUGCUUCAGCACUAGAUCUUGCUAGUACAGGUUUUUUUUACUCCUCCAAGUUACAAGAUUCCCUCCUACAAAAGUAAAGUAUCCAGAGGUAGAUCUUCUAUCAUCUUUUGAACCUGCCUAAUCUGCAUCAGUGUACCCUUCUACCUUUAAAUUUCCAUGAUUUGAGAACAAAAUUCCUUUUCCAGGAGCGAGCUUCAAAUAUCUCAAAAUCCUUUCAACAGCAUCCAUAUGAAGUUUUCGUGGGUCAUGCAUAAAUUGACUAACAACAUUCACUGCAUAUGUGAUAUCUAGACGUGUAUGGCACAAAUAAAUUAAUUUUCCUACUAACCUUUGGUAUCUUCCUCUGUCUAUGCUUGCUGAAUUUGAGCAUUGAAAGAGUUUAUGAUUUUGUUCAAUUGGUGUAUCAGCUGGUUUACUCCCAAGCAGCCCAGUUUCCAAUAGUAACUCAAUAAUAUAUUUUCUUUUGCAUAGAAAAAUAAAAUGUUUUGAUCUAACUACUUCAAUACCCAAAAAAUAUUUGAGGUUUCCAAAUUGUUUCAUCUCAAAUUCAUAUGCAAGAUGCCUUUAGAGUUCAUGAACUCUAUUAAUUCAGUCUUAAAAUAUUUUCCUCCAUUGUAUGAUCGAAUGACCUUAAUAGAUGUGUUAAAUUGUGUAACAAUCAGAUGAUAAAAUGAACGAAUCACAUCACACACAUCACUUUUAUGUUUAAGCACAUACCCAGGUUACCCGAGUACAAUCAUCAACAAAACUGAUAAACCAUUUUUUUUUCCAUUAUGUGUAGAUUGUGGGGGCAGGGCCCCAAUCAUCUGUGUGAAUUAAUGAAAAAGGAAAAUCAGUUUUGUUAUUGCUUAAAGGAAACACAACACGAUGAUUUUUUCCAAAACACAAGUUUCACAAAAAAAAUCCGAAAUAUUAUUGUAUUUAUGAAAUAGUGAUGGAAAUAAUUUUUUUAAAUAACCAAAAGAGAGAUGUUCGAACCGUUUAUGCCACAACCAAAUUUUUUUUUUGUUUUUAUCUUGUAUGUGAUCAUUCGCAAGACCAAUCAAUCAUCUUUUAUGGUUUUUUUGUGAGACAUUUUCAAGAUAAUACAGUCCUUCACUCUCUACCACUGACAAUCUUCUCCUUGGAAUGAAUGUUCUGAAAUGGGUUGGGUAAAACAAGGCAACACAAGAAUGUGAUUUGGUUAACUUACUGACGGAGAUAAGAUUACAGUUUAACGUAAGAACAAAUAAAACAUCAAGAAUCGAUAAGGAGGGUGAGAGGGAUGUAGUACCUAUGUGGCCCCUAAAACAAUUAUCCAAUCACUACCCUUAGUAACAACAGAAAUAUUAAGAGCAGAGUUAAAUAUACCUGACUUGGUUACAAAUUCGGCUUGGAAGCAGUAGAAGUUCCAGAAUCAUGUUUCUCCGAUUGAUUGUCAUCGGAAGAAAACAUCAGAAAUAUUCAAUGAAAAAAAGCAAUGAUUCCUAUAUUGUAGAGGAUACGAGUGUUUGGCUCUGAUACCAUAAUAAAGGUUUAAAGAAUAAUUCUGAUGUAUUAUUUCAAAUAGUAAAAUAUCAUAUAUAUAUAUAUAUAUAUAUAUAUAUAUAUAUAUAUAUAUAUAUAUAUAUAUAUUUAAGGAUGUUAUAAUUCUUCAUCUAUUUAAAGAAUGAUAGGUACACAAAUCUGCACAAAUUAAAAUAAUAUCUAGAUUAUAAAUAACACAAUAUUUGAUUGUCUAAUAUCCCUUAAUAAAAUAUUUAGCAUAUCUUAAGAGUUCAUUCUCAUUUUCUUCUUUGGACACCACUACCUUCAAGUAACUCUGUAAUAAUAGCCUUUUGUUUGUUACAUAAUGAUCUAAACUUCAAAGUUAUACCAAAUUUUGUAAUUGCUAAUUCUUCAAGAAAAUAUGAUUUAUAACUUUAAUGUCCAAUACUCUUCUUUAUCAUAAUAAUUAUUUUGUUUAUUUUUCAGCCAUGGAUAUUUCCCCGUAUUAGUCUAACUUUUUUUAACAUUUUUUAUCAUGUUUAAAGUAGGUAAAAUAUAUAGUACCCACUCUAUUCCAUUAUAAUAUAAUAAUAUACAAAUUCAUAUUGAAUAUUUUUAAGAAUACAAUCGUUGCAUGUUUGAUCAUUGAUUGUUUCUUCCUUCAUUCCAUCAAAUUUCUCCCUCCACCUCGUCGAAAAGCUUCUCAAUUUUAUUUUCUUAAUAGAAGGAGGUGAUUGCUUUCUAGAAAUAAAAUUCCAGAUUUGUUUAUAUUGUUUCGGAGAAUAAAUUCCGAAAUUGAUACGGUGUUAGAAGGAACAUGAGAGGGUGUAGGAAGCAAUAGCUUUGAUUAUUCUCAUUCUCAUAUAUAAAGAAAAACAACAUUCGCAUUUUGAUAUCGAAUGAGUAUAACUUUUUUUAUCAUACCUUCAUUUCUAUCAAAUUAUUGUAUAUAUCCACAAUAUAAAAAUAUUAAAAAAAAUAAAAAUAAUUAAAUGCAUUUUAUUCAAUAAAAUUGAUGUUUAUGAUACCUGAAAUGUUAUACAAUAUUUGAAUGAAAUUAUAGAAGAAGAAAAUGUAUGUAAUCCUAUAAUAAAGAAAAGUACCUUGUUAAACCCUUUGAAUAUUGAACAAGCCCAAUAGUAAUGAAUACAAAAUUGUAAAGAGAUAAAUUAAAAGUAAGAAAAAAUGGUUUUCAAAUAAUAAUGAAACUAAUAAAUUGUGGGUGUUUCAAUAAUUUAGAACUGCAAUAGAUAUGAGAAUAGGACCUAGGUAUAAAACUUGCUCUAGGGACAAGAUUAAUAUGUAUAUACUCGUCUUUAUCUUCUUACUCAUACUAAAACAAAAAAUGAUAUAUUAUCUAUACUUAUAUACCUAAAAUCAGAAUAAAUUUAAACAAUACUAACAACGAUAAGUUUAUUUGCAUUCUUAAUUGUUCUCUUUUUCUAACCAUCAAUUUAUGAAUAAUUAGUCAAACUAAUGCUUAACUUAGGUUCUAAAACUCUUUGCUUACUUUCUCAAAAUUAUAUCCUAAAUAUUUAUUUGUGUUUGAUAUAAUGUUGGAAGGAACUUAAUGUAAUAUGACUUUUACAUGUCUUAAAUACAUGUCAUAAAUUUAUGUUCGAUCAUACUUAACUGACAUAAUUUACAUUUAUUCGAUAAAGAUCGGAUAUAAAAUUUUUCUUUUACGUGUGAUGAAAUGUAAAUAUUAACCAAUUAUUUAUAAAUAUAUGAGCAUAUAAUUUUUUUUAUAUAUCUACUGUCUGCAUGAAUGAAUCUUUAAUCAUAUAAAUUAUUAUUGUUUCUAACAAAGUCUUAUUAAUAUUAAUUAUGAAGACUUUGCUACUAAUUCAGGAUUCUUACUUGAGAUGGAGAGAUAUGAAAAUUGAAAGAGGCGCGUGGAAAAGACGUGAAGUGGGUGCGGGUGUAGGAGGGGGAAGACAGUUAUAAAGAAAUGGAAAAGGAGAGGAAAGAAGGCCCGAAACGAGGAACAGAAACUUCGGGAUCAUAUGGCGGCACAUGGGAUAUAACCCCACUCCACCGCGUCUGUGCGUUGCUGCACCCACCUCCACCUCCACCUCCACCACCAACCACUCGCUCUCAACCUAAAACAACCACCCAUCGGAGAACUUAAAUUAAACACAACUACGUCUCUUUCUUUUUGGGUCCCAAAUCAACCUUUCCCUUGUUUUUGCCAUAUCUACCACUCUCCUUUUUCUCUUUCUCUAUUUCAAACACACAUCACAAUAUCUCCAAUUAAGCACCAAUUUUAAUGUUUCUCCAAUUCAACAAAGCAACAAAAAAAUCAAUAUCUUUAAUCAACUGCUUCUUCUUUUCUUCACCUUCACCUUUAUUGCUUAACAAAAACAAUCAACACCAUUCACUUAUCAUUCAUUUUCUGAAUUUUUUCAUCAAAGAACGGUGUCAGAAGUUUAGCAGUUGGCUUAAGAGAUCUGAAUUUGCUACAACUUCGUUUAUAACAUGAAAUUCAAUAAGAUUUUGUUGUCACACACGUCGAAGAUCGGAUUUAUAGUGUUUUGGCUGAGUUAAUUUUGAAGAAUCAUAGAUAAGAAUAACCGUGUCAUCAUAUAUAGGACACUUUUAAGAGGGGAAAAUGGAGGUGUAAUUAUGGAUAAGCUUAUUAAAAUAAGUGUUUUUAAAAUAAAUAAUUCAAUCAAAAUAUAACAAGUAUAUAAGAUUUACUAAAAUAAAUAUUUAAUUUAUUAGAAAAAAAGUUUUUUAAAAAUAGAUAAAUAAACCAGCUCUGUCGUAUAGAUAAAUUUGCUAGAUAUUUAUUUUGAAUGAGACAGACUUAAUGUAGAAGUUCUUUACACAACUUUUUCGUAACACAUUUGGCUUUUUCAACUAGAAAUUCUCAAUAUUAAGAAAAACACAUCUAUUAUAGAUAUAGUUAAGAUUCAAAUUAUUUAACAUAUAAAUGAUUUAGGAAUAUUACAAAUUGCUCUUUAUAUAUUAACAUGCUGCUGUAUCCAUUAAAAAUAAAUAAAUUUAUUUGCAAGCAAAACCUUCUACCAACUAAUAAAUUAAGACAACCUGAAAGUUAUAUACAUCUAAUAAAAUAUUAAUUUAGAAAAUAAAUAUGUAAUUUACUGAUUUAAUCUUAAUUGCUUUACUUAUAUUCUAAUCCUGUUAUAAUUGUUUUAUAUUUUUUUUAAAUAUUACAUAUAUAUAUAUAUAUAUAUAUAUAUAUGGGGUUUGCUAACUUACGUACGCCUGUUUUUUAGUUGGUACAUUUUAGCAAUGUGUACCGAGUUUCAGUAGACAAAAAUACACUUAUAUAUCAUGAAUUCUAAGUUUUAAGGUUAAGGGUAUUUUAAUAAUUUUCAUUCUCAAAAUUAAAAAAAGAAACCCCCAAACCCUUACCCAGCUCUCAUUCCUUUCAUCUCUCUCACUCCAACCUUUUCUCUCUCAUCUAUAGCCCCAAUUGAAAAAAAUUAGAAACACUUGCCUUAUUUUAAUAAUUUUCAUUCUCAAAACUAAAAAAAAACUUCAAAUCCUUACUCACCUCCUUCAUUCCUCUCAAUUCUUUCUCCUUCAUCUUCAUUAACUUGUUUUCCUUUACUAAAGAAAAAACAAAUCAAAAUACAAUAAAAUUCUCAACGAUACAAUCAAACAAUAAAAAUUCUAAAUCUUGAAAUUUUAUUUAAAAUUAUAUAAAGAAAAAAUCAGGUGCUUUAAUUUUUUUAUUUAUGUAAGUAUUUUUUUCUUUAACCAUUUUAUUUAAUAAUGAGUGUUUUUUUAGUUGGAACUAGUGCAAAGAUGACAAAGAAAAUGUUUGAGUGAGAGAGGUAAAGAAGAAAGGGUUGAGAGGAAUGAAGGAGGUGAGUAAAAGUUUGGGUUUUUUUUUUAGUUUUGAGAAUGAAAAUUAUUAAAAUAAGACAAGUGUUUCUAAUUUUUUUCAAUUGGGACUAGAGUAAAGAUGACAGAGAAAAGGUUGAAGUGGAAGAGAUGGAAGAGAAAGGGUUGAGAGGGAUGAGAGAGGUGAAUAAGGGUUUGGGGGAUUUCUUUUUUUCUUUUUUUAAUUUUGAGAAUAAAAAUUAUUAAAAUAACUUUAACCUUAAAACUUAGAAUUCAUGAUAUAAGGGUAUUUUUGUCUACUAAAUCCCGGUACAUAUUGCUAAAAUGUACCAACUGAAAAACAAAUGUACGCAAGUUAACAGACCCAUAUAUAUAUAUAUAUAUAUAUAUAUAUAUAUAUAUAUAUAACAAGAACAAUAAAAUAAUUAUGUUAAGAAUAAAUAUAAAUAUAAAUAUAAUACAUGAUAUGUUUUAUUGUGAAUUGUUUCAAUUAUUUAUAAUAGGUAUAUAGAAGGAAACACGAGACAAAAAUGUACACUUAAAGUUAGAUCAAUUCUUCGCAAUGUAUUGUAAUGUAAAUAAAAUCAUCAAUGAAAAGAUCGUUUUGCAAUAAGCUGCACAACUAUAAAUAUACGAUGAAGAAAUAUCAUGACCAUAGACCAACACAUUAUUUCUAAAAUGCUUAUAAACUUACUUUAUUUAUUUCACUAGUACAAAAAUAUUAUAUAAUGUCACGCAUUCUAAUCACUCAAUUGUCAACGUUAAAAAGACCAGUGACAUUUUUGUAAAUAAAUGUAAUUAUUAAAUGUCAAAAUUUAAUAAAAAUUUGAGCUGGAGAUUGAAAAUUCAUUCACUUUAUCUUAGUGAGCAAGACUCUCUUUUCUGCUCAAACUUUUCUUGAACGAAGUUUCACGACCAUCACAUGUAAUUUUUCUUUCAUUUGAUAUAAAUGCAUGUUAACUAACUACUUUAGUUAUGAUUUUUGUUUGUUUUCACCAAUUAUUUUCGCGUUCUUAUUCUUCAUAGGCUUAUUCUGCUUUCUUUCUCACUAGUGACAACACUUUAUUCUGAUGAACCCACCUUUUUGAAGGUUAGUUUUCGUUUUCGUUUUGAAAAACUUAUUUGUUGAACUUGUUUAUUGUUUUUUGUUGAACGUUGUUGUUUGGAUUAACUUGUUGUUUGAUUGAACUUGUUUGUUGUUUGUAAUUGCUCUUUGUUGUUGAUCCUAUAUUACCUUUCAUAGUUCAUGCUUUAUAAAAUACCAAAAACUGAAAUUUGUUCUUUUUCUACUUUUCAGAUCUCCGUAGAAUUAUAAAAAAAUUUCACAAUUAAUUAAAAAAAAUUGAUUAACGUCACAAAAUUCGACGUUAAAGAUUUGAUGUUAAAGUAAUGUUAAAUUGUUUAAAUUCGACUUCAAUUUAACGUCUCUCGAUAUAACGUCGUUCUCGAAUUCGACGUGAAAAGUAAAAAAAAAAGUUGACGUUGUAAGUUUUUUUUACGAGUGUUUCUUGUUUUUUUAUUAGUGGAAACUAGAAUACUUUGUUUCUUACAUAUCCUUUAAAGGAGUAAUUUUGUUUAGUUCAACAUUUUUUUUAUUUAUAAUAAAAGAUGAUAGUAAAUAACAUUUGAUAUUGUUAGUCUUUCAGAGAUCUUAAGAAGGGAUAAUCAUAAAUAACCUAUACAAAGUCAAAAUUAUAUAUAACUAAGAUUCAAUAGUUAUUACAAAAACUUCAAUAGUUUUCCAAAGAAUAACUAUUAUUUUUUUUAUGUUGAUGACUUUUGUUUAAGAGCAUAUUUUUAUGAAAAGAAAAAAAAAUAUAUCUUAUUUAUCUAUUAUCUUUAUAUUAUUAUUUGGUGAAAUAACUAAUCUUUGAUUGAAAUACGGUAAAAUAAAUUAAAUCAAUAGAUUCAUUUUAAGUAUAAUACAAUAAAUAUAUAAAAUAAAGGAAAAAAAUAAAAUAUUUUCAUGUCAUUUAAUUUAUUAAUCUAUGUACUUGUAGGUGUUUGAAGUCAGAUUAUAAUGUUUUUUAUUUAUAAAAAAAAGUCUGAAUCUUUUUUAGUUCAAUCCGUUAUAAAUUAAGUCAUGUUAAUCAAAUUAACUAACUGACACUUUUAAUUCUAUUUUUAAAAAUAUUCAAUAAUUUUUUCUUAAAAAUGACUAUUUUUUAAUAGUCUUUUUAACUGAUCUUUUAUCUACAAAAUUCAUACUUGGAUUAUUAUUUGAAAGUAGAGCUGUCAAAAUGGGUAACCCGGCCCGACCCAUCACGGGUUGGUCACUUAGUGAGUCAAUCUAAUCCGACUUAUUUAUUGGUGAGUCAGAAAAAUUUGAACCCGGCCCGACCCACCACGGGUUUGUGAGUAAACGGGUUGACUCACUGGUCCAUUUAAUUACAUUUUUUUUUUAAAUAAAACAAAAAUACAAACUUUCUAUAAUUUAAAUUUAAACAAUUUUCACUCCCAAAAUAGUGUUAAAGACAAUUCAAAAUAAUAAUAAAAAGUACAAUAUAAUCCAAAUGUCAUUAAAAAACAAAUACAAAAAACAUACAAAUAAGUUUCUUAUAUUCAUCAUUUUUUGUUCUGGUUGUAACCUUUGACCCUUGUUCUUGUUGUCUCCAAAUUCACUAAUAAAGAUUUUCCUAAUAUCAGAACAAUUCUGACAAUCAAUAAACAAAUAUUAGUAAAAAAAAAACAGAGAACCAGUACUCAACAACAUCAACAAAAAAAUUAAUAGUUUAAUUUGUACCAUGAUUUCCCAAAUUCAAAGAUAUCAAAAAGAGCUUGUUCAAAUAAUGUAUACUCAAAUUGUUUAAAUAAAAUGAACAAAAUUUGAUACAAGCAUGUCAGAACAUGAAAAAAUCAUUCCAUUUCUUCAAAUCCCCCAGAACAAAAAACAAAUUCGCAAAACCCUAUUUUUGUCAUUAUAGAGUUUUUGAAAAAAAAAAGAAAGAGAAGUGAGAAAACAAAAAUAUGGAGAAAAGAGAAGAAAAAAGGAAGGGUGGUUUACCUGCUCCUUGAAGAAUUUCAGUGAAGUGAGGGUGAGAGCACCCUCAAAUGAGAGCAAAUAUUGUGAGAGUGAUUUGUGAGAGCAGAUGUUACUAUUUUUGGUAUACACAGUGAAGAAAAAAGUAUUUUAUUUUUUAGGGUUUCAUAAAUAAAAUAAUAAAUUAAAAAAUAAAAUUAAGUAGAUGGUUUGGUGGGCCAACCCGGCGCACCACGGGUUCAACCCGCAUGAGCCGGGUUGAAAUCUGACCCGCAUAUAAGUAGGUUGUAUUUUUCAAACCCAACCCGGUCCGAACCCGUGACGGACCGGAUUGGUUCACGGAUUGUGACCCAUUUUGACGGUUCUACUUGAAAGAUUUCGAAGUAAACUCCAAUCUAAUCAUAUUAAGUAAAUAGAAACACAAAAUAUGUUUGCAAAUGGAAUAAUUUUCUUUUUAAAUACUAGGUAUUUACUUUUUAAAAAAACUGUUAAGAUUUAAUAUAAUAAAGAUUAUAUGUUUAGCUUUAUAUAUUCAUUUAUAUUUUUUUAUAAUAGAUGUAAUAUGUUUAUGGUUUUUUAAAUGUAAUUUUUAUCAUGAAUUUAGUGUAUUUUUUUAUAUUUUAUAUUUCAUGUUUUAUUUAUUUUUAAUAAAUUUUCUAAUGAUAUAUAUUUAUUUUGGAGUUUAGAUAACUUCGUGAAGCACCUUAUUUAAAGAUAAUAUAUUGAAAGGGAUGGACAAUUAAGUAUACAUGUCAAUAUGAAUUUAUUAAAUAGAAAUGUGUUUAAUAUAUUACAUUUUUAAUAUUAUAAACUUAACAGUUUUUUCAUGUCAAGUGAGGAAAUAAAUUGCAAAGAUAUGAGGACCUACUGACCUAUACAUGAAAAAAGAAAUGAAAUAAAGGCCCACUUAAUCCCCAAAAUAUUAUUCCCUCCUAAGCUCUACAUGAUUUAAAAUAUAAUUAGUUAAUUGUAGAAAAAAUUUAUAAUUUUUAUGCAAAUUAUUUUAUUUAUUCUUACUAAAUAUUGUAUAUAUUUAUGUUUUUAUUAAUGAAUAACAAGAAAAAAAAUUUGAAAAUUCAGAGUUAAUUUAAUAUAUUAAUAAUAUUAAAAAAAUAGUUUUAUUUAUUAUUAUAGAAAAAUCUUAUAUGGAGAAAAAGAGAAAGAGAGAAUAUACUACUAUGAUUGGUAAUACAUUAUGCUUAACUACUGUAGUCCUUCACAUUUUGCACUUAUGAUGUACCUGAAUAAGUAAUUUCAAAUUCAACCAUUAAUUUAUUUUUUUUCACGUGAACAGUCAAAUGUUGACCUAUCAUCUUAUCUCAAACAAUAGUCUUUAAUGGACAAACGUGACUAAUCGCGAACAUUAACUACGAUAGUUUUUUAAUUAAUCUAUUUUAUGUUGACUGUUUCAUCAUUAUGACACUUUGAUCGUCCAAUUUAAUUGGAGAGAAUUUCACUUAACUGAAAAAUUAAUCGUCUGGCUAUUAAUUUAUGGAACGAACGAAAUAUAUUAUAUAUUAUUAUUAUUAUUAUUAUUAUUAUUAUUAUUAUUAUUAUUAUUAUCUAAAAAACAUUUACUCCGACCUAUUGAAUAACAGAAUUUUUGUAAUCAACUCAAGAUGAAGUAUAAUUCAAAUACAAUCUUUUUUUAUUAUUUUUAUAUAUCUGUUAAAACCAAAAUAAUCAAAAAAAAAAAAUCAGACUUCAAAAUAAAUAAUCCAUCAAAUUCUAAUGAUAUUAUCUUAACGAAUUUGACUUCAAAAUAUUUUUAUUUAUUAAAAUUAAAUUUAAAUAUUUUUUAACUAGCUUAUUUAAUAAAUUGGAAUGUGUUGAGUUACAGGGAAAUGUGGUUGUUGUUGUGAUUGAUUAGAUUAGAGAAUUGAAAAUGAGAGUAGCUAGUGUGGUGGGUUCCUCUUGUUUGCUUAAGUACAUCUAAUUAGCUGGCAAUCACUCCUUUUGCCCAAUCUUACUUUCCUUGCUUUUCCUUUUCCUCCUUUCAUCUCAUAAAUCUCAUUAUUAUGCCAUCCAUUUACUUUACACUUUAUUUCUCAUUAUCAUUAUUCUUCCACUUUCUCUCCUCUUAUCACUUCUUCACACUACUCUAUUAUUACUUCACUCAUUCUAAACAAUCUUUCUAAUCCUUUUUUUUUUCUUUAUUUUAUAUGCUCAAAAAUUACAUUAGUUAUCGUACCACGAGGAUUAUUUCAUUAUCCUCUUAAAUAAAACAUGACUUUGAUUUUUCACUAUUUAAACGUUUGAGAAAAAAAAAUAUUACAUGACGGUAAAAGUUAUAAGAAAAAAUCAUUCUUGCACUCUUAAUAAAAUAUUGGCUACCACUUCAUUAAAACUAAACGUAUAGAAAUUGAAAGAUGCCAUUAUAAGAACUACAUCACCAGCUAUUUUUAAAUGUCAGUUAUAUAUAUAAUUCUAAAACAUUAUUAAUAAAAUAACACUCGACCUAUUUGUUUUAUUUAUAUUCCCCUUGCAUUUUUUAUAAUACAUUUAUAUUCAAAUUCUGUUUGAACUUGAUAAUAAAUUAAUAAAUUUAGUCACAUGUUUUAUUAGUAUUUAUUUAAUUUUAUAUUAAAACAACGUUUUCUUAGAAAAACAUGUUUUUAUAGGAUAAUUUAUAAUUGAGUUACAAUAAUUUUUUUAAUGUUAGUACUAUAUCAUAAUAAAAUCAAUUUUAACUUUUUAUAAAAAAAAGAAAAAAAUCUGCUUUGUGUUUUUUAAACUUUUAUUUUUAAUUUAUAUAUUGAGAGAGGAAAAUUUUAUUUUAAUAAAAAUACAAAUUACAUAUUUUACUGAAUUAAAAACAUAAUAGAAAUGAGUAUAAUUAACAAAUUAAGGGGAGUAUAUUUUAUUAAAUUUUAAAAACUUAAGUGUAUAUUUUAAAAUUAAAGGACCAUCGGUUUUAACCAAUAACAUUAGAUUAGAUAAGUUUAAAAUGUUUUUAAAAAAGCUUUCAUACGAUAAAAGAAAUGCAUAGUGAUAAAAGUUGUUUAGUUUAGAGCUAAUUCAAACUGCAAACUUUUUUCUCUUUCUUUUCAAAUUAGAAGUUAUUUUACUUAAUAAACGUAAAUAUCCCUUUAAUAUAUACUAGAUUGAGUUUGUGCCUAUUAGAUGCAUAUAAAUAUUACUUUUUAUUUUUAUUGAAGUUCUACAAUUAUUAUUUGUUAAAGUCCAGCAAAAUUUCAUAUUGUUAUAAUCGAAGUUUUUUAUUAAUUGAAUAUUGAAAACCUAUUGUAGUAAUCACUUAUUAUACCUACACAUAAUUAAUAAAUAAAUAAAAACUACUAAUAUUUUUAUAAAUUUAAAAUGUCUUGUUAGCUUUUUUUUCUUUUAAAUUAUACUCAUUAUAAUUUUUUUAUACAUAUAAGUGGGUACAUAAAUAUCAAUAAUAUUAUUAUACUAAAAAAAUAGGUAUUAUUAACUAUAAAAAUUUGUUGAGAACAUAAAAAGUUCAAUAACAUUGAUUUUUUGUUUGACGGACUAAAAUUUGUUCAUAAUAAUAUAAUCAAUAACAUCUAUUAAUAAAAUAUUAUAUUCUUAGAUAAUUACCGAAAAGAAAAACAUAAGUAAUGAGUCCUUUACAUUGUUGAUGAAGAAGAUGAAGAUUAUUUAGACAAAUGAAGAUGUCAAAAGUUUUUUAUUCUUUUUAUUGACAGAUUUAUCAAUAGAUAAAUUCAUUGAAUAAUAAACAUUUUAAUUAUUAAUCGUUAUUAUUAAUGAAUAUUUAGAUUUGUUGUUAUAAAAAAAAUUUACCUAUAAAAAGUCCGUUGAUAAAAUUUUUAAAAUCUAUCAAUAAAAUUUAAAGAUAUUUAAAAAAUUUAAUUUCAUUGAUAAUUGAAUUUUUUAUUGACAAAUUUAUUUUUUUAUAAAAUUUUAUAAUAAUUUUAAGAUUUUUGGAAUAUUAUAAUAUAAAUCAUAUAUUCUUACUUCUAAUUUUGAUUGUUUAUAAAUAAUGUUUUAAGGUCUACAAAUUAAAAUUAACAACAUCAACCUCCUCUUCUCAUUUUUUUUUAUCAUCAAACCUAAGUUAAUUUAUAUAAAUAAAUAUAGAAUCAAGUUGGUUGGAAUGUCGUGCAGAUAAUGUUAAGGUUGUUGGUUCGAACCCUAUACGAAAUGUUAUUAUAGACUGAGAGCCUACUGAUCGGGUAUAACCGAACACUAAGUCAAAUGGAACGACCAGACGAGGUACGAAAAAGGACUUCGUAGUCGAUCGGUCACGACAGCAAUUGAGGAGAGUUAAAACGUGAUAUUAAUAUAUACUAUUGAUGACUGGUUAAGGUUGACAUUAAUGAUCGUUAAAAGGUAAAUUAAUUGAUCAAAUUCUUUUAAACUCUAUAAAUGAGGAUUAAUUUCGAUGUAAACUCACUUUUUUUCCACAAUAGAAUUACUUUAAAACUUUCCGAAAAGAAGUAGUUUCAAAAUACUUUUUACAGGUCACCCCCUCAAACCGAUCGGUCACCAUAACAGAGAGAUGAGUGAACGCUCAGCUAGACAGAGUGUUAUGCAAGAGUCAUUCUCGUCCUAUUAGAGUAAAAACACAAACUAUUGUUUUAUUAUUUGUAUACUUAAACAAAUCUUUAUUAUUUUACCGACUAAACCAGUAAAAAAUUAUGCACAAUUUUAUUUGAAUUAUUUCUACUGAUACAAUUAAUGAGAAAAGGAAUGUUGUAUUCGAAAUGAGAAGCAUGAAAAGUGAUCGGGUAGCAAGAUGUGAGAAAUUUAGAUGGGGAAGUGAUUGUAGAAAGGGAUUAGCAUAGAAUAAUGAAUUAAAAGGGAAACACAUUACUGGUAAUAAUAGUAAUGUGAAGGGAAUAGGAAGACAAGAGAAGAUUAGUUGUGUUUUGGUUGGAAUUUAGCAACAGCGUUGUGGGUGGUUUUGUUUUGUCGAGCGUCAGUAGUGAGGAGGCGUGUGAUGCACGUGUACAGUUUUUGCGACAUUUGCAUGGAAAUGCAUGUACUCUUUUGUCAGUGUAUCACUGACACCUUCUACCAAACACACAUGCCCGACACCAUGAAAGAAAGUUUGUCAAUUUGAUUUAACCCACAACUUUGUCUUUCCCAUUUUCCCAUUAUCCAAUUACUCCUUCUCUCUCAUUCACCACAUCUUUACUUACCACCACUUCAUAAUUUUCUAUUAAACAUUCACAAACUUAUAACAUCUAUCUUACUUUAAUCAAUCAUUCUUACAAUACUCUCUUCCAUAAAGUCUAUAUGGAAGACCUAAAUUUUAAAUAAUGUUCCUAUAAUCUUGUGAGAUUCUUCAAGUUGAAUUUGUGUCCACUUUAAGAAAUCAAAUUAUUAUGAGUUCAUUCAUGAUAUUUGAUCUACUUUUAAUCUAACAUUGUUAAAUAUAUCUUCAUUAGUAUCUUAUAAUAAUAUCAUGAUAUUAUUUCCAUUCUAUCAUUCUUAUUCAUCUCUAUUUUUCUAAGAAAAACAAAGAGACUUAAAGAAAAUAUAUCAAUCAUUUAUAACUUAAUUCUUAAAUAUACAAACGCAUUAAUAUUUAUAAAUUGUUGUUAAUUAAUUAUAUCCACUCGAACUUAAUUACUUUUUCUAUGGUUUUGCUGAUAAAAGAAAAUACUUUUUUUUAUGGAAUAUAAUAAAACAUUUAAAAUAGAUUAUUCGAGGUAGAACAUGCUCAAAUUUGUUGUUUAUGAACUUGGUUCACAAAUAUUUUAAGGUUUCAUCUUAUUCUAAUCUAACUUAGUUAGAAGAGAAAUAAAGUACAAUUAAAUAAUAUUGUCUCUGUUAAUGAGGACAACUUUUUGUGAAUAAUUGAAUAAGCACAAGUUUAUAUUAUAUAGUGUGUUGUAACCGAUCAUAAUUACGUAAAUUCAUUUAGUUAAUUAAAUAAAACCACUUAUAAAUAAAAAUCAAACAUAAAAAUAUGUGAACGAAGAAUAAAUAAAGAAUUUAAAGAUUGAUCGAUGUUCUCAUUGUUUUUCCUCUUACUGGUGAGUGUUUAUAUAUGAGUGUUUCAAAAAAUAAUCAGUCAAAGAGUUAAGAAAAAGUUAAAUCUACAACCCAACGAGGAAGGGGAAUACCAUAAUUCAACAUUAAAUGUCAACCGAAUCCUUGAUAAGGUAAUGUGAUGUGAUCUCAAAAUAUAUGAGUACUUUUGUUUGAAAAUAAAGCUCUUAGGACUAACUUGUGAUGUGAUCUUAAAAUAUAUGAGUACCUUUGUUUAUUAGUUCAAUGUUAAAUAAUAUUAUUUUAACUACAAAAUUUAUUAUUUAAUUUUCUUACUUAGAUAUUAUGUAAUUGCUUUGAAAUAUUGAUUGAAUAUUAAAAAUUUAUCUUAUUAGCAAAGUAUAUUUUUUAUGUCUAGUUUAAACUGGUUUCAACUACACAUUGGUAAACAUAAAUAACAAAAGUAAACUUUUCAAAAGAAUUCACAUAGUACAUCUACUCAAAUUUUAAACGAUGUACACAGAUUUCUUAGUAUAAUUGAGUAGGUUUUGUACAAUAUUUUAGAAGGCAUGUAAUAUCGUUUAUUAUAUUAACAAUGUUAUAUGGUCCACUUUUUAUAUGAUAUCGAUAAAAAAUUCAAAAAUAAUUGAUAUUAAAAAGCCUCUUUUUAUUGCAGCAUGGUGCAAGGUUGUCCAAAAUUCCUAACAUUUUCUUGAAUUAUGUUGUUGAAUUUUUCUGCCUUUUAAUGACUUCAACAAAAACAAGAUCACAAUUUAUCAAAGAAUCCUUUUAAGAUCCAACCACGAGUUCUUCCUUAAAACUUGAAUUGAAAGAUCCUCCAAUUCAAGCAACUUAACAUUGAGAUUGCAUCACGAUGUAGUCGUUAGUCUAUUUUUAGUUGGGAGGUUAUCUAUUUUUUCCAUGCUCUAAAAAUAUCGUUAAAAUGUUUUAAUAACAAUAUUAAGUGGUAUUUAUCCUCACAUAAUCAUUUAACAUCACUUAAACCAUGUAUAUUAUAAUACAACUUAAAUAGUGUAUCAUUUAAGUUGAAUAGUCUAACCCAAUUUAAGUGAUGUAUUAUCUAAUAUUAAGUUUGUAGAGGAUAUUUCGUAUAUACAGAACAUUUUUUUAUUAUUUAUAUUAAUCAAUUUUUUUUCAACAACAAUCAAAUUUAAUGAGUUUAUUUUUGGUAAUACUAAGAAGAAAAGAGCAAAUUUAAACACAUAUGCAAGGUGUUUAUUGGGAGUUGAAGAUACUGAAAGUUUAUUUUAUCUUAAUAAUAACUUGUUAAUCUUGUGAAUAACAUAGGUAGUUUUUAUCUUACAUUCGAUUAUUAUGAAUUUGACUUUUAAAUAGUCUUAUUAAAUUGAUUUAUAUAAGUCUUACAAAAUUAGUUUAUAAGAUGAAAUUUACAUUUAUUUAUAUAUUAUAAAUUGUCUUAUAUUUGAUUGACGUGGGAGUUUUAAUACACAUCUUUCACACUGAAUCAUGUAUUCAUGGAAGGUGAGGCUAAAUAGUUAUAAAUGGUCUUAUAGUAUCUUAAUAGCAAGUACCAUAUAGAUCCAAUAAAUCUUAUUAGAGUAAACUCUUGUAUCAUCUUAAGAAAUGAACAUUAAACUUCAUUUAGUAUUAAAAUUGAUUUAUAAUAUGGGGUUUUAUGCUACUUAUAUACUAUAAAUUAGUUUUAUUUCUAAUAAACGUGAGAUAUCUAAGGCUAGUAAGAAUAACAUUUAGAAUUUAAUUGCUCCCUUUGCUAAAGAAAAGGUUGCAAAAGUUAUGUAAGCUUGAUCUUUUCUUCUUCUGUGUUUUUUUUUCUUUACUUAAAUACUAGAUAUUGUGGACAAAGAGCUUUGUCAGUAAAACAAUUGAAGAAACAUUUAAAAAUGUUGUGUAAGUAAACCUUUGCUUGAAACAUUUAUUGUAUUUAUUAUACGGAUUAAACAUGUUUUUAGGCUUUCAACUUUUAAUGCAAAAUUAAAAUUUUUUAUGUUGAAAACUUUGAUCCAUUUUGGUUCUUAACUUUAAAAAUGAAUGAAUAUAAUUAUUUUAUUUUUUUAGUGAAAUAUAUCUUAUAAUAAUAUUUGAGUUGUUUAAACCAUUUCACACCUAUUUGACACAUUUUCAUUUUAAUAUUAACUGAAAAAUGUGUUUUUCAAGUUAAGAAAGGUUAACUUAAUUGGAUUACAAAGAUUAUAUCCAUUCACUUUUAAAAUUUGGAGAUCAAAAUAUAUCUAGGACGUAUCCAAUUUUACAUCAAAAGUUUAAAGACUAAAAUCAUAUUUAACCUUUAUUUUAGAGAGGUCCCGAUAAGUAUUUAUAUAGUUUGAAUUUAUAAAAUGUUUGAAAUGCAUCUUAUAAGUAAGGUUUUUGUUUGAAGAAUACAUUUCUUUUUCACCCUAGUAACAAAUAUUUACGCACAAUUUUUAUUUUUAAAUCAAGAUUUCUUCGAAAAAUCAAAUUUGAAGUUACUUUUUACAAUUUCUGUUUUCAAAAAUCCUUUUCUCCUUUCUUUUAAAUGAAAAAUAAAAAAAAAAUUAAGAUUUUAAUUUCCUUAAAAAUAAUUCUAACCUAAAAAAAGUGAUAUAAAUGUAAAUAUUCGGCGUACUAUAUAUUAUCGAUAUCAUUUUUUAAUCCAUAAAUUGGGUGUAAAAACCUCCAUUGUUUCCCUGAUAAUUUUAUGAGAGAUUUUCAAGUAGCUUCAUUGGUAGAGGAGCCCUAGAAUUGUGAUGUAAAAUCAUUCUUGAAGUUUAAAUUGGCUUACUCAAAGGCUUAGCUGUCAGAAUAUUAAAAGAAAAAUGAGUGGUGCACGUGUUGGUGAAUUUUCAUUGGAUGAUCAACAGUAGUACCACGUUAAGUCCAUGAUCAACCUUGAGUCAUGCAUUGACCAUAGAACCAAAGUUGAAUAUAAUUUUCCAAUCAUUACCCAUCAUAUUAUUAUUUUUUACUUCUUAUUAUAAAAUAAAAACCUGCAUAUGCUUCUUCAUAUUUUUAAACACCAUAAUGGAGGAAGCCAAAUCUCUCCUAACAAUUCCCUUAAAUUGGAAUUACAAAUUUAUUUUGAUAAUUCAGAUAACAAAAAACUGAUAAAUAAACAUACAAUAUCAAAGUGAGACUUUAAUUUUAAUCAAAAAUAGGAUAAAAAAACAUCCAAGAGAUUAUAUUCAAGUUUUAUUUAAAAAAAGAAAAAUAAAAAACAAGUUUAUGCGACGUUUAUCUUUUUAAACAAAUAAUGAUUUUUUAUUUUAAGUAGUAUAUAUUAAAAUAUUUUUUUUUAUUUGAUUUAUUUUUUAAUAUUUUCCAUUAUAAAUUUAAUGCUGUCAGCAUACGCAUUUUUUCCUUUUUUUCUCUUAUGAAAUAUUAAGUCAGUUAUUUAUUAUUUUUAGUCAUAUUUUAUAUAGGUUUUUUGUAGAAUUAAAUUUAAACAUAAAAAUUAUGUAAAUUAUAAUGUUGGAAUAUAGUUAACAAUGUCUGAACCCGUUUUGUGAUUGGAUUUGAGAUCCCAUCUCAACCCGAAAUUUGCAUGUUUUGGGGUUGUUUGAUUGAUCCUGCAAAACUUUGUAAAGAAUAAAAAAUGAACUGAUAGAGACUAUUUAAGUUUUUCUUAUAUUAUAAAUAAGUUUUUAAAAUUUGUAAAUGGGGCCUGUCUUUGAAAUCAUGAGGCCCAAAAUCAGCGAAGCCCAAUCUCAUAUUCCAGGCCUAUUACAGGCUUAUUUUAAUAUAGCCCAGAUGGGAGUUACUCCCUGUACCUCCCCAAUUCUAACCCCCACCCCCCAAUUUUUUUGGAUUUUUUUUAAAUACAAAAUUAAUCUUUAUGUUUUUUUUAUUUUUACCGUUUUACACUUAUUUACUAAAGUUAACUUACUCUUUUACAGUCUGCCUCAGUCAAAACACACAGACUCAAAUUCCUCUCCUUCGUAUUCCCACCCCCACCNCCACCAAAGCUUUUGAAACGCUCCUCCUCCAAACGCUCUAUGCAACUCUCACUCUCCCAUUUAUACGUUAAAAAUAUAUUUAAAAAUAAUACAUCAAAACAUAUAAAUUCCAUUAUUAAAAUAUCUAAAAAUUAAUAUAAAAAGUAAACUAAUAAAACAAAUCUUAAAAAUAGAAUGGGGGGUGGGGGUUAGAAUUGGGGAGGUAGAGGGAGUAACCCCCAGCCCAGAUAUCAGAUAAGAAAUAGUAAACAACUUCAACUCUCCUCUUUCUCCAUGCUAGUGUGAACCAUGUUUUCUUGACUUAAAAUAUUUUCUAAUAUUUGAUAUUUAUUUUUACUUUAUAAUUCUUCUCUCUAAUCUUAGUUUCUUGAUUUCUUUAGUUUUAUUUCUACAUUAUUUUCAAAUUGUGUUUAUUUUUCUGGUGAAAAAGUUUAUGAAUUGGUUUUGCAUGAGUUUUAAAGGAUUUUAAAUGUGGAUGUACUAGGACUGUGUAAUUAUAUAUUGUUUUAAUUUAUUUGGAUAUUUUUUCUAAAUCAAACUGUUCGGAUUUUUAAAUUUGUAAUAGAAGCUUGAUUUUAAAGAAGAAUCACAACGAAAUAAAAUAUUGCCAUUAUAAAUUUAAUAAAUUUAAGUAACGUAUAUCUUUGUAAUGAUUUCGAGUAAAAGAUAAAAUAAGGUCAUUUUUUAUUUUCUAAUGGCAAACAAAUAUCUUGGAAUUAUAAAGUGUGUGAAAAAUACAUUUUUUUUUAAAUAGUUUGUCCGGAUUUUUAAAAUGAUUUUCGAGUAACAUUUAAUAUAUAUAUAUAUAUAUACCGUUUAUAUAUAUAUAUAUAUAUAUAUAUAUAUAUAUAUAUAUAUAUAUAUAUAUAUAUAUAUAUAUAUAUAUAUAUAUAUAUAUAUAUAUAUAUNUAUAUAUAUAUAUAUAUAUAUAUAUAUAUAUAUAUAUAUAUAUAUAUAUAUAUAUAUAUAUAUAUAUAUAUAUAUAUAUAUAUAUAUAUAUACCGUUUAUAGCUUCUUACAAUGAAUUACACAAAAAUCACAAUUGAUUAAAAGAUUAUGAUAUGCAUAUUUUAUGAUAACUAAAUUAUAUAAGUAUGUAAUUAAAUAUUAAGUUUUUUAGAUUGUUGGAAAUUGAUUGAUUGAUUUACAUUUAAGUGAUAAAUAACAUUAUUUACUUUGUAAUUCAUUUUCCUUAUCAUUUCUCACUCUUUGUCAACAUAAUAAAGUGUCAAAGCAAACUUAGAUAAGAUGAUGACAUACUAUAGGACAAUAGUCAACAUAGUCAAAACAAGUGUGUAAAAAAAUAAAUUUAAAAAGUCACCAUAGAGAAGUUCAUUUUCACAGUGGUCUUCUCAGUUCGACGGUUUAAACGCUAUUUUGUAGUCUAAGUAUAUGUGUUUGUGUAUAUUGUCCUAUCAAGCAAAUCUCACAGAAGAUAGAACUAGCAAGACACAUGAUGACUUGAACGGUGGAACUUCCUAAGUUCGGACUCACAUGUUAAACCAGAGGAUCAAUGAAGUUGCAAUUGCUAACAUAUUUCCUCACCGACCUCUGACCAAAGGGAAAGAGCUCACAUGAUGGUCUUUAAGUGUUAAUGGGUAUCUUAAUAAGAAAGACAGCGCCACUAGCAUUAUUUUGGAAGGACUCGACAAUCUUAUUGUUGAACAAGUCAUCCGCUUUAACUUUAGUGCGUUAAACAAAUAAAGUACGAGGACUUGAUUUACAAGUUAUAAUUAGCUCACGAGCUUUGAAUGCACAAAUUACACUGCUGUAGCGAUUCCCAACUUGUCAUGGACCAUUAGAACGAUUUGAUGAGUUUAAGACUAGUCAUGAUAGGUCCAACGUGCUAUCCAAACUAGUUAGCACUAAAAAGUCCAACCAAUACAAAACUCUUAUCCAAUAAACCCUCUUAACACUAAGUUGGGACUAGAGAGACAUACUUAAGAUUCCUCGGUCUCGCCAAGUUGGAUGACCCCCAUCUUGAAUUAUUUGAAUUUAGACAUGUUGCUUGUCGACCCAAUAGAAGCAAGCUCCAUAUGCAAGCAAACAACAUUUUACACUAUGCAUACCGAAGAAUUCUUCAAAAGUGGGUUCACUACCCCACUUUUCAAAUGUCUAAAUCCAGAAGAGGCACAAUACGCAUUUGCCGAGAUGUAUCGAGGCAUACGUAGGAUGCAUUUAGGAGCUAGAUUCAUGAUUGCACGAAUAUUCAAGGCAAAAUAUUAUUGCCCCACAUUAAGAAAAGAAGCUCAAGAGUACAUCACAAAGUUCCAAAAAGACCAACAAUUUAACCCAUUACAUUUAGUGCUACCUGAGAAGCUGCACACUCUAACCGCUCUCCAUGGCCAUUUGUUACAUAGGAAUAAACAUACUUGACACUUUUCCACCUAAUAGAUUAUUUCACUAAGUGGAUAGAACAAAACCAUUGGCCACCAUCUUAGUCCAAAAAGUUCAGAAAUUUUGUUGAAAAAACAUCACUUGUCGACACGGGCUGCCACACUCCACGGUUCUUGAGCCAACUUGACAUAAAGAACCGACCCUUGCAAGUUCAACAUCCUUAAGCCAAUGGGCAUAUCAAGGUUGUCAACAAAGUCAUCCUCACUGAGUUGAAGAAGAAGCUUAUGAAGUCUAAAAGGCCAUGGGCUGAGAAGACACCGACUAUAAAAUGGGGUUACCAUUACACUCCUCAAUCAUCAACACAUGAAACUUUCUUUUGAUUAGCAUGAUACUAGUAGAGCUCGGCGAAACUUCUUUGCAUUGCAACAUUUUGAGGAAACACACAACAAAGAAAACCUCUAAGCUGAGCAAGAUUUCAAAUGAGACACCAGAUUAUCUAAAUGUUAACAUAAGUAAAGUUCCCAAAGAACGUACCGAGUUACCUAGACAUUAACAUAAGUAAAGUCUUAAAAUGAGACAUCGAGUUAUCGAGACAAUAAUAUAAGUAAAGUACUUAAACAAGACAUCCAAUUAUCUAGAUGAUAAAAUAAGUAUACUUCUCAAACGAGACAUCAAGUCACUUAAACGAUAACAUAAAUAUAAACUCACAAACACAACAUCGAAUUAUUAAACACUAACAUAAAUUAAAUCUUUAAACAAAAUGCUAAACUACUUAAACAAUAUCGUAUCUAUUUAGAUUUAGUCUUGUUAUAUUAAAUUUUUUAUUAGAAAUUUCAUGUUAACUUAAAAUCAUAAAGUAAAAUUUAAUAUAAUUAUUUUUAUAAAAUCAAUUUUAUAAGAUUAAGUUAGUUCAAAAUUAAUGUUUUUAAUAUGAUAACUGUUUUAAAUUUUGAAUGGUAAAAUCAAGUCAAAUCACGCAAUAGUUAAUUAAAAUGAUUUGAAAUACCUCAUUUGACAAAAUAAUUUUUCAAUUAGUUUUUUUGAAGUUUAAAACGACUGCGUAAACAUAAAUUUUAGUUAUAUAAAAUAAGCGUAGCAAAAAAUAACAUUUGAACAUAUAGAAUAUAUUUAAAAUUUAAAACGAAUUAUUUAGCCGCUGUCACUUACAUCGUAUCAUAUUUUUAAAACGAAAGUUUUUCUUUUUCGGUUUAAAUCUUUUUUUUUUCCUUAAGUUAUAUGUUAGUGUUCAGUUUAGUCUCCGCUUUUAAAAAUGUCAACCUUUGGUUUCUAAGUUAUAAAAAAUGUAUCAAAUCAGUCCCAACCGUUAACGAAAUCAAUGAAAUAUGUAUAAAAGAAUACGGAUGAGACUGAUUUUAUACAUAUUUCAUUGAUUUCAUUAACGGUUGGGACUGAUUUGAUACAUUUUUUAUAACUUAAGGACCAAAGGUUGACAUUUUUAAAAACGAAAAUUAAACUGAACACCAAUUUAUAACUAACGGACCAAAAAAAUAAUUUAAAUCUUCUUUUUUUUCUUUUGAAAGGAGUUUAAAAAUAUUAAAAUUUAAUUUAAUUUCUAAUAUGAUUUAUUUCUCACAAUUUUAUUUACAUUAUCUAAAUCACUCACAUCCUCGGAUAACAUAAUACACCACACAUUAUUACAUACGAUUCAUUAUGUAACUACUAUUACGAUUGAAAGAAAAAUAUAUAAUAAAAGUGAAGAAUGUUUAUUCUUUACUCGUAAAUAAGUAAAAUGAAUGUAAUUGAUAGAAAAAAAAAAACUAUAAUAAUGUAAGAAUAGUGUGUGAAAUAGACAUUUAAAUGUGAUAAAAAAAGAAAAAUAUUGAAAAUGUUUAGUUAGAAAAUAUAGUUGUUGAUCACUUGCAAGGCCAGGCCCAUCCAUGCACCUAUCUUUGGCAGGCUAACUUCUAAAGUGUCCCAGUUCCCAAAAUUAAAUUGAAAGAAAAAAAGAGAGAGAUAAAUAUAAAAAUAAAAUCGAAAUGAAGCAGUUGUUUGGUAUUAAAAAAGCAUGAUGGGGAAAAUAAGAAUGCAAUCCUACUCAGAUUGGUAGUUGGAUCGAUAAGUGCAAAGCAAAGGAAAUGUGACGAAGGGUGGAAAAGAUGAUUGGGCUAAACCAAACGGAAGGGGGGCCCUCACCUGAUUAAUAGUCCACUUGGUUCGGUGGGCUAUUCACUCGCACGCACGCCCUACACGUACGGUCCUAUCUCAUCAAAACCCCAAUAACUAAGUAAAUAUAAAAACAACUUUUUCUCUUAUUCUUUAAGGGGUGGGCUAUGACCUUUAGCUCAUCCUUUUAUGAUCCUUCCCAUUCUCAUAUUUUAUAUCAAACAGGGUGGUGACAUGAUCAGAAAGUAAGUAAAGAAAAGAGAAUCUCAAAAAAAAAAAAAAGAAAUAAAUUCGAUAAAUAAUAAUAAUGGACCUCAAGAGUCCAAACUCCAAAUCCAACAGAUUUGCCCUAUUUUAAAUGUGUUUGAGAAAAACCUUAUCUCCCGAACCUGUACGAACCACAUUCCAAAUAUCAGAAACCCUCAAACUCGAAGGUCCAAUUAGCUCAUCGGGUUCGCUCCCAGGCCCAAUCUCCAUCUCUCUCCGGUGAGCCCUCCUUCUUUCUCUCUCUUCUCUGCAAAGCCCUAGAUCUCACUCCGGUGAGGCUCAGGCCUCGCUUUCUGCUUCGGAUCUACUUUUUACACUCCAAUCCUCUUCACGUAUAUAUAUUUGGUACCUCCCAAACCCUAGCUCUUCGAUUUCUCGGUUCUUCUUAUUUUUCUUCCUGCUAAACUCUUUUAAUCUUGCUUUUAUUGUUUUCCAGUCUUUAUCCAUUGUAAUUAGGUUUCUCUUUCUGUGUUUUGUGCUUUGAUUUGUCGAUCUUCAGUUUCAUGUCACUGGAUUGGCUGUUUCUGUGAUGGAAUGCUUGAUCUGGACUGUGUUUUUGUUGUUUUGGUUUUAUGUGUUCUCCUUUACAGUUUUUGCAGUGGUAUACCGUUGAAGAUCUGAUGUUCCAUCUUUGACUUUUGAGUUUGACCUUAUAAAUAGUUUGUGUGGGCUCUGUGAGUUGUGGUUGAUGGAGUGGAUGUGCUAUGAACGUCUUUCACUGACGAUUUUUGUUCACUUUGUACUGUUGAUAUUGAGCUCGUCUUUCACUGAGGAUUUUUGUUCACUUUGUACUGUUGAUAUUGAGCUCGGCUGAUCUGACCGGCUGUGGUCCCAUGCCUUUUUUGAUUUCGUGGACAGUGUUUGAUUUAACCUUGACCUAAAUACUUACUGAAUAUUAAAGGGUUGUAUGUAGUAGGAUGACCGUGGACAGCCUGUUGGGUCUUUGAUUCUUAAAACUAAGUAGGAUGCAAACCAAUAUUAAGGUGAAGGGGUCUUAAGCCAUGAUGGUGCCAACAAAAUAGGUCGCGGUUGCAAUACUGAUAUACUGGUCCAUCCAUUUUGUUGUUUUUGACACUAGUUUACAAUCCUCUUCUCAAACCUUACUUUGAAAGUUAUUUGUUUAUUCCAUGUCUUGUCCUCAACUCAAUCACAUACUCACAAAUUCCUGUUAAACAGGUGCUUGUUUUGGUCUUCAGUUCUCUCUUUCAUAACUGCCCUCUCUUUCAUAACUGCGCUUGUCUUUUAAUUCUUUUUGCUUGCUUUUUGGCACUCCAAGAUGUCACUUGUGCAGACAAUUAUAAUGUAUGUUUUGUUUGUUAUAUAUCCUGUAUAAUUUGAAUGGGAGUGUUGAUAUCUGAUAGCACAGGGAUCUCAUGUUCUCUUCAUAUCCUAGUAUGGUAUUAAUGUGUCUGUUUGGAGAACAUUUCCCGGUGGGAACUUACCAUUUCUUGAAAAGGAGAAUGAUUUUUAUUAUUAUCAUUCAUGUCUAUUACAUUGUCCUUACACCUGUUUGUAACAAUCUAAUCUUCCAAAAAAGGAAAUAAGGAAAAAAAUAUACUGAAAAAUAAAUUAGAAGAUUCUACAGAUAUUUUCUCUAAUUAGGAAUAUUUUCCUCUAAUUACAACACUAUUAAUUAGCAAUUUUAUUUCUAGGUGAAGCAGGAAGGUACAUAUCAAAAUAAAAUAUGGUUACUGUUGAAGAUAAAGUGGUUGCGAACCCUGAUGUGAAAAAUUCACCUGUCAGUACUGGUUUUCAACCUAGCAAUGAUCUGGUAAAUUCGGAAAAUCAGUCCGACCAUAAUGUGGAAAUAUCCGAGCCUCAGCCUGAUAAGGAUUUCUCCAAUUCCCAGGCAGAGCCUAACAAAGUACUUGUGGCAUCUGAAGUCCAGGCACCUAGUGGCAAUAAAAUUGAAGAUACGUUGCCCAAUGCUGAGGAACCUCCUAUCAGUGAGUCGGAGAAUCUUGAGACACCACCCAACAACCAGUCAAGCAAUGAUGAGGGCCCACACAACAAUCAGCAUGUUGAUUCUGUAGCAUCAUUUAAGAAUCCAUCAGAAAGCUCUGAAGAUGUAGCUGAUGCAAAGCUUGUUAGUUCUGAAGCUCCUCUUGACCAGAAGCCUGUGUCUGAGGCACCAUCAAGCGAUCAGUUGGUCACCUCCGAGACACUUCCCGAUAACGGCGUGGUAGAUGCUGAACAUCAGACCAGUAAUGAUGUGGUUGUAUCUGAAACACAGCACAGCAAUGAGGUGGUAGCAGAGCAAAACAAUGAGGUGGUUUUGCCUGCAACGGUUCAAAGGGAGGAGGUGGUUUUAUCUGAAAUACAACGAGGUGAUGAGGCAGUUUUAUCUGAAACACAAAAUGAGGCAGUUUUAUCUGAAACACAACGAGGUGAUGAGGCAGUUUUAUCAGAAAAACAGCAAAGCCAUGAUGCAGUUUUAUCUGAAACACAGCAAAGCCAGGAGGCAGUGUUAUCUGAAACACAGCAAAGCCAUGAGGUGGUUUUAUCUGAAACACAGCAAAGCCAGGAGGCGGUUUUAUCUGAAACACAGCAAAGCCAAGAGGCGGUUUUAUCUGAAACACAGCAAAUCAAUGGGGCAGUUUUAUCUGAAACACAGCAAAUUAAUGGGGUUGAUUUAUCUGAAACGCAGCAAAUAAAUGGGGCAGAUUUAUCUGAAACACAGCAAAGCAGUGGGACAGUUUUAUCUGAAACACAGGAGGUGGUUUUAUCUGAAACACAGCAAAGUAAUGAGGCAUUUUUAUCUGAAACUCAGCCCAGCAAUGAUGUAGUCAUGUCAGAUGCACAACCCAACAGUGAGCCACUGGUGUCUGACUCACUGCCCAGCAAUGAGAUAGUCAUGCCCGAGAGACAGCUCAGCAAUGAGACUGUCGUACAUGAGGCACAGACCAGCAAUGAUGUGAUAAUGUCUGAAGUUUUGCCUGAAAAUGAGACGGUACAUUCUGCAGGUGAUCUUAACAAUCAGCUCUCUCAUCCUGAAUCUCUUUCUCAGAAUCAUCAUUAUUCUAAUUUACACAUGAUUCCUGAAGAUCAGCUACCUCAACCUGAAUCACUGCCCAAUUCUGAUCCACUGCCUGCUUCUGAACCAGGCAGCCAUCUCACAGACAUCAAACCAAUAUCUCAUAAUCAUCUUGCACAGUAUGAUACACUACCCAACAGUCAUAUGCACCAUUCUGAGGCAGUGGCCAACGAUCAACUAGUAGUUCACUCUGAGGCGUUGUCCCAUGAACACAUAGCAAACUCUCAUUUGUUGCCACACUAUGGGCUGCAAAACAGUGAAACGAUGCUCGACAAUCAGUUAGUCAAUUCUCAACCACACUAUGAGAUAGUCAACGCUAGCAACAUACCCAGCUAUGAGAUAGUCAAUGCUGAAACUCCAUUGAACAGUGAGGAACCUACUCCUGAUACUCAGCCAAGCAAGAGGAGAAAAAAGAAGUCUAUAGUCUGGGAACACUUCACCAUAGAGACAGUCAGUCCUGGAUGUAGAAGAGCAUGCUGCAAGCAAUGCAAGCAAAGUUUUGCUUACAGUACUGGUUCAAAGGUUGCUGGUACUAGUCACCUCAAACGCCACAUUGCAAAGGGGACAUGCCCAGCUCUUUUACGUACCCAAGAUCAUAACCAGUUCAGUCCAUAUACUCCACGGUCAAGGGGAAGUGAUGCUGGCAAUGCUAGCAGUGCACCAAAGCGACGCUAUAGGUCCCCUAAUACUCCUUACAUAAUAUUUGAUCAAGAUCGUUGCCGUCAUGAGAUUGCUAGGAUGAUCAUUAUGCAUGAUUACCCCCUUCACAUGGUUGAGCAUCCGGGAUUUGUUGCAUUUGUCCAAAAUCUGCAGCCCCAGUUUAAUAUGGUUACAUUUAACACAGUUCAAGGAGAUUGUGUUGCAACCUACCUGAUGGAAAAGCAGUGUGUUAUGAAGUAUUUUGAGGGAUUACCUGGACGUUUGUGUUUGACACUGGAUGUUUGGACCUCAAGCCAGUCUGUAGGAUACGUGUUUAUAACUGGACAUUUUGUUGAUAGUGAUUGGAAGUUGCAGAGGAGAGUUCUUAAUGUUGUGAUGGAGCCAUACCCUAACUCUGAUUCUGCUCUCAGCCAUGCUGUAUCUGUUUGCAUUUCUGACUGGAAUUUGGAGGGCAGGGUAUUUUCUAUCACUUGUGAUCAGACUUCGAGUGAAGUUGCCCUUGGGAAUCUGAGACCAUUACUCUCUGUAAAGAAUCCUCUUAUCCUCAAUGGUCAGUUGCUGGUAGGAAAUUGCAUUGCCCGAACCUUCAGCAAUGUUGCAAAUGAACUAUUGGGCUCCGUGCAUCUUGUUGUAAAAAAAAUCAGAGACAGUGUAAAAUAUGUGAAGACUUCAGAAUCCCAUGAGGAAAAAUUCCUGGAGCUCAAGCAGCAUCUUCAGGUCCCCAGUGAAAGGAACCUUUUUAUUGAUGACCAAACCCAGUGGAAUACUACAUAUCAGAUGCUGGUGGCAGCUUCUGAACUUAAGGAAGUGUUUUCUUGUUUGGACACUUCUGAUCCUGAUUACAAGGGAGCCCCAUCAAUGCAAGAUUGGAAGUUGGUUGAGACCAUCUGCACGUACUUAAAGCCCCUUUUUGAUGCAGCAAACAUCCUUACCACGGCAACUCAUCCGACUAUUAUCACCUUUUUCCAUGAAGUUUGGAAAUUGCAGUUGGAUCUGUCUCGGGCUGUUGUGAAUGAGGAUCCUUUUAUCAGCAACCUUACUAAACCCAUGCAACAUAAAAUUGAUAAGUACUGGAAAGAUUGUAGUCUGGUUUUGGCAAUUGCAGUAGUUAUGGAUCCUCGAUUCAAGAUGAAGCUUGUUGAGUUUAGUUUCACAAAAAUCUAUGGCGAGGAUGCGCAUGUAUAUGUCAAGAUUGUUGAUGACGGGAUUCAUGAGCUGUUCCACGAGUAUGUGACCCUUCCCCUGCCACUGACCCCUGCUUAUGCAGAUGAAGGGAGUGCCGGAAGCCAUAUGAAGGCAGAGGGGUCUCCGGGAGGAACUCUGUUGUCAGAUAAUGGAUUAACAGAUUUUGAUGUCUACAUCAUGGAAACUAGUAGCCAUCAGACGAAGUCUGAACUGGACCAGUAUCUGGAAGAAUCACUGUUGCCACGUGUUCCGGACUUUGACGUUUUGGGCUGGUGGAAGCUAAACAAACUCAAGUACCCUACGCUUUCAAAAAUGGCCAGGGAUAUACUGUCUGUCCCGGUCUCAAGCGUUCCUCCAGAAUCUGUCUUUGAUACAAAAGUGAAAGAGAUGGAUCAGUAUCGAAGUUCCUUGCGGCCAGAAACAGUGGAGGCCAUUGUAUGUGCGAAAGACUGGAUGCAGUAUGGAGCAACCGAAGCUUCCAACGCGCUCGUGAAAAUGGAGUUCUAGAUUUUAUUCAUGUAUUUUUUUGGUUUACGUAGAGGGUGUGAAAGAAAACCUGCAUCAUGCAUCGCGCGAUAUUUGAUGAACCUACACGUUCUCAUUUAGGUGGUUGUACUCUCUAUGAUGGUAGGUUCUUGUAUUUUACUUGUAGUUUCUAGUUAUAUGUUAGCCUAUGUUGGUGACAUUUAAUGUGUAGAUUUGGACGUGAAUGCCUAUAUUCUAGUUUACUUCCCUGGAUUAGAUGCUAGAACAGAUGCCCUCCUCAAGGUGAUAUGUUGAUGUAAUAAUUUAACUCAAUAUUCAAUCACUCUAUUCAUGGGCUGCACUUGCUCUGGACUGGGCUAGUUUUAGCCCAUUAGUUUUAUGCCUCUCGCGUAUAGAUUAGGAUUUAAUUUCCCUUCUCAAGCAUUUUUUUUUUUGUGUUCGUCCAAGCCAUUCAUAUAAAGUGAAAACGUCCACUUGAAAAUUGUCACUGUAAGCUGAUGUAUAAUGUUACGUGAUGGUAUUAGAGAUUAGCAAAGACGGGCUAACCGUAGUUCAUCACAACUAAUGCACCAUUCGAUUGAACUAGGGAACCUUGGUGUCUGCAGGUGAGGUUUUUGGAUCAAGUUAAUGUUUUUCUGCGUAGUGUUUUGCAACUAUUGUUUGUAGAUAUUUAUGCAGAAAAUAAGUAUGUAAUAUAAUAAUUCAAACACAUGGUUAGAGACAGAUAAUGUGACAUCCCAAUUAUAUAGUAUACAUGUAUAUAAUUUAAGACGUCAUCAUAGAUAAUAUUUGAAAGCAGUCAAGAGUAGAGUAGUAUAAAGAUCAGGAUUACAGUCAUACAGGAAUUAAGGGGGAAUUAAAAGCGUGAAAUGCUAAACUAAUUCAAACUAGAUAAAUUGGAAAGUGUCUCAAAAUAGCAUAAUUUAGAAAUGUUCAUAGGGGCAUAACAGCCCAGAAAUUCCUAAAGAGUCUAGGCAGCGACGUCUUCAUUCUCCUCCACGACAUUCUCCACAGACACCUCAUUCUCUUCUGCUCACAUCCAAGAUGGAUGAUCAUCGCAACAGGGCAACACACAAUAUAGUAACACAACAGACAAACAAUUGCAAGUGUGAGCUAAUUAUAUAAAAAGCAUACUAUUAACAGUAAAUAACGUUCAAGAACAAACUCAAAAUCAAGUAAAGUAAGACACACAUCCUAUACAUGNNNNNNNNNNNNNNNNNNNNNNNNNNNNNNNNNNNNNNNNNNNNNNNNNNNNNNNNNNNNNNNNNNNNNNNNNNNNNNNNNNNNNNNNNNNNNNNNNNNNNNNNNNNNNNNNNNNNNNNNNNNNNNNNNNNNNNNNNNNNNNNNNNNNNNNNNNNNNNNNNNNNNNNNNNNNNNNNNNNNNNNNNNNNNNNNNNNNNNNNNNNNNNNNNNNNNNNNNNNNNNNNNNNNNNNNNNNNNNNNNNNNNNNNNNNNNNNNNNNNNNNNNNNNNNNNNNNNNNNNNNNNNNNNNNNNNNNNNNNNNNNNNNNNNNNNNNNNNNNNNNNNNNNNNNNNNNNNNNNNNNNNNNNNNNNNNNNNNNNNNNNNNNNNNNNNNNNNNNNNNNNNNNNNNNNNNNNNNNNNNNNNNNNNNNNNNNNNNNNNNNNNNNNNNNNNNNNNNNNNNNNNNNNNNNNNNNNNNNNNNNNNNNNNNNNNNNNNNNNNNNNNNNNNNNNNNNNNNNNNNNNNNNNNNNNNNNNNNNNNNNNNNNNNNNNNNNNNNNNNNNNNNNNNNNNNNNNNNNNNNNNNNNNNNNNNNNNNNNNNNNNNNNNNNNNNNNNNNNNNNNNNNNNNNNNNNNNNNNNNNNNNNNNNNNNNNNNNNNNNNNNNNNNNNNNNNNNNNNNNNNNNNNNNNNNNNNNNNNNNNNNNNNNNNNNNNNNNNNNNNNNNNNNNNNNNNNNNNNNNNNNNNNNNNNNNNNNNNNNNNNNNNNNNNNNNNNNNNNNNNNNNNNNNNNNNNNNNNNNNNNNNNNNNNNNNNNNNNNNNNNNNNNNNNNNNNNNNNNNNNNNNNNNNNNNNNNNNNNNNNNNNNNNNNNNNNNNNNNNNNNNNNNNNNNNNNNNNNNNNNNNNNNNNNNNNNNNNNNNNNNNNNNNNNNNNNNNNNNNNNNNNNNNNNNNNNNNNNNNNNNNNNNNNNNNNNNNNNNNNNNNNNNNNNNNNNNNNNNNNNNNNNNNNNNNNNNNNNNNNNNNNNNNNNNNNNNNNNNNNNNNNNNNNNNNNNNNNNNNNNNNNNNNNNNNNNNNNNNNNNNNNNNNNNNNNNNNNNNNNNNNNNNNNNNNNNNNNNNNNNNNNNNNNNNNNNNNNNNNNNNNNNNNNNNNNNNNNNNNNNNNNNNNNNNNNNNNNNNNNNNNNNNNNNNNNNNNNNNNNNNNNNNNNNNNNNNNNNNNNNNNNNNNNNNNNNNNNNNNNNNNNNNNNNNNNNNNNNNNNNNNNNNNNNNNNNNNNNNNNNNNNNUAAUUUCUAUUCCAACUUACUCAUCCACAACCCACUCACGCUCUCUGCAUUUGCACACACUUAACCAAUUAAUACACCCAAUCAUACCCUUCAGGCACUCAUAAGACACCAACAAUUACUUUAAGCAUACAUAAAAUCGCCACUGCAUACCCCAUUUUCCAAAUUCCACUCUCCAUACCAUGCCUUAUUUUUUUUUUUUUUAAUUUUAUUCUUUCUAGAACUUGUCUGCACCAAAAUAUUCUUGCUAAUUUAAAAAGACAACACCAUAACUAUAUACCCAUUUCCUGCGUCAACUUNUAAAACAUGUGCAAGGAGUUUAAACAUUUAUAUCAAUUAUGCUCUUAAUAUUUAAAUCAAACAAUCAUAAAAUUUCACAGAAUCAGUCAACAAUCAUGCAUAAGCAGCUUCUGAAAUUUUCCUUUCAAAACUAAAUCAUUAUACUAACAAGUUUUACUACUCUAACCUCACUUUAACACACAUAAAGUGCAUUUUAUACUUGACCAAAACAGAACAGCUAUUAUCAAACAAUUUAUAUGACCUAUAUCUCUAAAACCCUCGUUCAUAAAAAUAUCAAGGCAACCAAACACCAUGUACACAAAUUAGAUAUAUCAUCUCAUAAACUAAUUUCAAACAAAAAUAACUAGCUCCCCUUACCUUGGUUUCUCACAGUACAGUUCACAAGAGACGCUNUCACAACAACUUUAUGCAGCACAGGAAUUUACAGUACCUAUAUAUCACCGAAAUGGUGGAGGAAUAAGCUCUUAAAGCUAAGCUUUAAACAGGAAUAAAAAGAAGAACGCUCCUAGUUGUCUGCAGCCCAAAAAAAACAUUCCCUAAGUUGCGAAACAGCGGAGAAGAGGAGAAAAUUACUUACCGAUCCAAUCGAAAAUAUAAUUAGAUCAAAAGGAAGCCUUCGGUGUGGUGAACGCUUGAGCACCUUCAAAUCCAAGAUUGAACAGUUCAAUUAGUUGAAAAUCUAGAGAGAAGGCAUAGAGAAUUUAGGGAAAAGGGCUUCUAGAGAGAGAAAGGAAUAUUGGCUUAUGAAAAAUCUGAUUUCUGAAAAAGCCCCCUUCUAAGGCUAAGGUACCCUUAGUUUAUGGGCCAAGUUGCCUCCAUAUAGGGCCCAAUGGCUUUAUAAUUUCUCAUACCUUUACAUUCUCCCCAACAAGAAAAUUUUCGGCCUCGAAAAUUAAACUUACUAGAGAGAAGGAACAGCCUACUCUCGUCACAUCCUCUAGUACAAUCACCUAUUUUGACAAAGAUACUACUCCCCAACGACCUUACUAACAUUAAAAGUCAUGCCUUUGUGUUAAAAUGCUCUAGUGUUCAAUAGAGUAGAUUAGUUUAGCCAUUACUUUCAAGACAAAUAUGAACCCCUAAACUUUGGCUAGUAAGAAACUUUCUUUCGCACAACCAACCCCAUUAUGUCUGUCCCACUGAUAUCCACUCGUCCACCUUCCGCUACUUCUUCUAAUCUCUUCUAAGACUUCCACUAAUCUUGACUUCAAAUUAACCCUUGAUCGAUACUCAUUUACUUCCUCUUGUUCCUUUCAAGAACCCCAAACCUCUGACUUGAUCACCACAAUUUUCGAGUUAAUCAUCUAUUUGAAUCACCUUUAUCCACAUCCAUUCUGAGAGCUUCACAUUGCUUUUCUGAUCUUCACUACUGAGUAGCAUAGUUUCCUACUAUACAUCUCAUUACCAAGUAAAACUCUUCUCCUUUGCAAUGUCGAAACCAAUUUGAGCAAUCUAGCUUCACUUCGUUAUCUCACUGACCUGAACCAUAUGCACUUCUUAAUAUAAUAGCUUGUAAUCAUACUUAGUUAUGUAGCUUCCUCGACUUGAGAUCACUAGCCUAAUCCGUACCAUACUUAUGAUACCUUUCAAGCUAGGAUUGUCCAAAUUGCACUGUCUUAACCAUUUUGAGAAACCCACUAGUUAUAGUAUUUCAACUAUACUAGUGAAAUCUUUUUACCUCUUCACUUCAGACUUCAGUCUUCAAACUCUUCAACCGACUCUUAAUCAAUUCUUAUUAAGCUAACAACUUGAAUCUUCUUUCAGUUUCCACGCACAACUAACACUUGCUCACCUCAAAAUUGAUCUUACAACUUGAAACUUAUCCUCGUUCAUUAGUUUACCGAAAGAACACUUCCUUCAUGACAAUUUGCAACCCGAAGAUGAUCACCCUUAAAGAACCUUCUUCAAAACUUCCCUGACUUUGCAAAACCUCGGUAACUCUUUUCUUCCAUGAUAACCUUGUCAUUCCAUUUUCCUCAACACUGCUUUUCUUCUCCACUAAACGACCAUGCUCGAAAUCACUUCUGAUUGCCAAGACUUAUACUAGACUGUUCCAACCUGUCCUCUAAUUCUCUUCUGAGAUUCUUUAACCUUGUAGUUCUCCCUAUGAUUACUGAAUCCAAACUAUUGUCGUUUUAACCAAUCCACCACUUGCCUCUUGCAUACCUUACAAUUACAGGAACUAUCCCAUUAUGAACUAUUAACAUUGGUUAAUUGUGAACCCCACCAAUCUAAUGUGGAAAUUCUAGUACCUGCUUCAGAACGCUAAUCAAAGCUUACACCAAAAAGACUUGUCUUUUAUUCUCCACUUAUUCUUGCAAAUUUCACAAUCCUUUCUCUUCACAUAACCAUGUUAACCUCUUUUGAUUCUAACAAGCCCUUUUUCUUCACUUUCUAACUUGAUCCACAAAUGAUGUAUUUCCACUGACUUUCUUCUUGAAACACAAAGCUUUUCUUGAAGACCAUAAAGCGCGGGAGAACUAUUUUGAAACAACAAACCUCCCUUGAAUCACACCUCAAACUUACGAAAGAAUAACAUCAUCUCUUCUUCGCUCGCACUUAACAAACAUCUUGAAUUCCCAUAACACUUGCUUCUACCUUUUCGCUCAACUGUACUUGAUGCACCACCUUCGCUUUCUUUCCCUGCCAAGAAACCACUUCAUAUAAACUUUAAACCCACGCCCUUAGACUAACUCCAUAAACGUAGCAUCGCUUAGAAUUCUUCAAGCACUAAUCCUGACCAAAUUUACUUAAAACCUUCUCCUUCAAGAAUUGCCUCUUCAACCCAGAAUCUUUAGAAAUACAGACCCCAUCUUUAAUCCUCUGGACCUCAAGAUGCCCUUAACCAGCUAUACCAAUCCUCUGACCUUAUUUGAACUUACCAAUUCUCUGCCUUCUGUAACCCAUCAUUCAACAUUCUCUUCUAUCUUGAUCAAACACAGCCGACCAUUAAACAUCACCACAAAACCACAUCCAACGAAAACUAACUUUACCAAUCUCUACGAUCAUUCUCAAUACCCGCUUUAGCUGAUUAUAUUGCAAUCACUCUUUUUCAUGCACUUCAAAAACUUUUCUUCAUUAUUCCUGAUGUGUUUCUUCCUCCGGUGCUUGAAGCCUUCCACCUCAAACCGAUAUCAAACAUUCCUUCUAUGCGAAUUACUAGUAUUGAAACAUCGUCCUAAGCUUGACUAUGAAUCAUUCACUUGCUGAGAAAGCUUGACCACUCCUUCCAAUUAUAUUACUUAACUCCAACCUUUUCGAUACCUCAUUCUUCUUCAAAGACCUCAUGUUCUUAACUUGAAAAUUCUACCUUCUACUAAGCUCUCCUUAAUAUGCUCUAUGUCUUACACAACUAUUUCUCAAACUCUUCUUCUUCUUCUAAUUCCUUUCCAAAAAAAAUUGAUUCCCUUUAUUCCACUUCAGAAUUCUUAUUCUUCUCUUAACUUAAGCUUCAAAUCAUCCACCACUUCUCUUAUUCAGAUUUCAACCAUCGCUGAUACACUGAUCCAUGUUACCCAUCUCACCCAAUGCCACUCCGUUGCUCACCAACACUUCCUUUCUUUUGACCUCUGACGUUACCGAUACAUAGAACCAAACAUUGCCACACCAAUACCCAUCUAAAGCUCCUCUUAUUCUGGUCUUUGAACUCAACUCUUGUGAA